rnacentral:lncRNA from 1 species
UUCGAAAGAGAUUGUCCGUUUUGUACACGAAGUGCAUCCAGUUUUUGUCGUAAGCCUCUCUACUUUCUGGCACAUGCUAUGUGGGUGAAAUGAUGAUACCAUGCCAACUUUCAACCUUUUCAGAGUUCAUUUGUAGUGCUUUUCAAUUUCAGGGUCUUAUAGCUGAAAACAUCAGUAAAUGCACGAAAAAUAACAAAUGAAGUCAGAAAGGGUUGAAAUUGAUGAUGUGGCUUUGAAUGGUGCAUUUUGAACACAGAAAAAGUAUGGAGUUCAAAUAAGUUAAAAAAAUGAAAUCCCUUUGUAACAGACGAGUUUCCGUAUGAAACCCUGGUACUUUGAAAGAGAUUGUCCGUUUUGUACACGAAGUGCAUCUAGUUUUUGCCGUAAGCCUCUCUACUUUCUUGCGNNNNNNNNNNNNNNNNNNNNNNNNNNNNNNNNNNNNNNNNNNNNNNNNNNNNNNNNNNNNNNNNNNNNNNNNNNNNNNNNNUUUUUCAAUUUUAGGGUCUUAUAGCUGAAAAAAAUCAGUAAAUGCAUGAAAAAUAACAAAUGAAGUCGGAAAGGGUUGAAAAUUGAUGAUGUGGCUUUGAAUGGCGCAUUUUGAAGACAGAAAAAGUAUGGAGUUCAAAUAAGUUCAAAAAAAUGAAAUCCCUUUUGUAACAGACGAGUUUCCUUAUGGAACCCUGAUACUUCGAAAGAGAUUGUCCGUUUUGUACACGAAGUGCAUCCAAUUUUUGCCGAAAGCCUCUCUACUUUCUUGGACAUGCUAUGUGGGUGAAAUGAUGAUACCAUGCCAACUUUCAACCUUUUCAGAGUUCAUUUGUAGUGCUUUUCAAUUUCAGGGUCUUAUAGCUGGAAAAAAUCAGUAAAUGCAUGAAAAAUAACAAAUGAAGUCAGAAAGGGUUGAAAAUUGAUGAUGUGGCUUCGAAUGGUGCAUUUUGAACACAGAAAAAGUAUGGAGUUCAAAUAAGUUCAAAAAAUGAAAUCCCUUUGUAACACACGAGUUUCCGUAUGAAACCCUAAUACUUCGAAAGAGAUUGUCUGUUUUGUACAUGAAGUGCAUCCAGUUUUUGCUGUAAGCCUCUUUACUUUUUGCACAGGCUAUGUGGGUGAAAUGAUCAUACCAUGCCAACUUUCAACCUUUCCAGAGUUCAUUUGUAGUGCUUUUAAAUUUCAGGGUCUUAUAGCUGAAAAAACUCAGUAAAUGCACGAAAAAUAACAAAUGAAGUCAGAAAGGGUUGAAAAUUGAUGAUGUGGCUUUGAAUGGUGCAUUUUGAACACAUAAAAACUAUGGAGUUCAAAUAAGUUCAAAAGAAUGAAAUCCGAAACUAUGGUGAAUUAUCAAAGUAUUUUCUAUUCAAAAUCAUUAAAAGCAACAUGAAUUUUCAUAAACAACUUUUUUGNNNNNNNNNNNNNNNNNNNNNNNNNNNNNNNNNNNNNNNNNNNNNNNNNNNNNNNNNNNNNNNNNNNNNNNNNNNNNNNNNNNNNNNNNNNNNNNNNNNNNNNNNNNNNNNNNNNNNNNNNNNNNNNNNNNNNNNNNNNNNNNNNNNNNNNNNNNNNNNNNNNNNNNNNNNNNNNNNNNNNNNNNNNNNNNNNNNNNNNNNNNNNNNNNNNNNNNNNNNNNNNNNNNNNNNNNNNNNNNNNNNNNNNNNNNNNNNNNNNNNNNNNNNNNNNNNNNNNNNNNNNNNNNNNNNNNNNNNNNNNNNNNNNNNNNNNNNNNNNNNNNNNNNNNNNNNNNNNNNNNNNNNNNNNNNNNNNNNNNNNNNNNNNNNNNNNNNNNNNNNNNNNNNNNNNNNNNNNNNNNNNNNNNNNNNNNNNNNNNNNNNNNNNNNNNNNNNNNNNNNNNNNNNNNNNNNNNNNNNNNNNNNNNNNNNNNNNNNNNNNNNNNNNNNNNNNNNNNNNNNNNNNNNNNNNNNNNNNNNNNNNNNNNNNNNNNNNNNNNNNNNNNNNNNNNNNNNNNNNNNNNNNNNNNNNNNNNNNNNNNNNNNNNNNNNNNNNNNNNNNNNNNNNNNNNNNNNNNNNNNNNNNNNNNNNNNNNNNNNNNNNNNNNNNNNNNNNNNNNNNNNNNNNNNNNNNNNNNNNNNNNNNNNNNNNNNNNNNNNNNNNNNNNNNNNNNNNNNNNNNNNNNNNNNNNNNNNNNNNNNNNNNNNNNNNNNNNNNNNNNNNNNNNNNNNNNNNNNNNNNNNNNNNNNNNNNNNNNNNNNNNAGAAUUUUCAUAAAGAACUUUUUUUAGAAACUUUAAUAGCAAAAAGAAUUAUCAUAAAAUAAAAUAAAUAAGUAAUUAGAAACAAAAUAAAAUAAAAUAAAUAAUUAUUUUGUUGUAAGUAGAAACAAAACAAAAAAAGCAAAAAAGAAAACAAAAAACUGGAAAAAAAUAAAAAAAAUUGCCACCUACUGGGCCACCACGGCCUGAAUACGACUAGAAACCCAUCAAUGGGCCAGGUUACAGGCCCGCAGAAGGCCCAGCAGGCCCAUAUGGCAUAGCAGUGACAAUUAGGCCCGUAAGCCUGCAAUAGAGAGGAGCUCGAGAGGGGUGCGGCAGUGGGGCUUAUAAACCACUGCGUGCCCCUCUCAACUAGCGAGGUGGGACUAAACUCCCACCACCACGGCGCUGUGCGCGGCCUUUGGUCCUGGUUGGUGGCACAAACCGGGACUAAAGGUGGGCAUUGGUACCGGUUCGUGCCGCCAAUCGGUACCAAUGCCCCCCCUUUAGUACCGGUUCAUGCCACCAACCGGUACCAAUGCCCCCCCUUUAGUACCGGUUGGUGCCACCAACCGGGACCAAAGGCCGCCGCUUCCCGCCCUUUGGGCUGCUGAAAAGAGACCUUUGGUCCCGGUUGGUGGUACCAACCNNNNNNNNNNNNNNNNNNNNNNNNNNNNNNNNNNNNNNNNNNNNNNNNNNNNNNNNNNNNNNNNNNNNNNNNNNNNNNNNNNNNNNNNNNNNNNNNNNNNNNNNNNNNNNNNNNNNNNNNNNNNNNNNNNNNNNNNNNNNNNNNNNNNNNNNNNNNNNNNNNNNNNNNNNNNNNNNNNNNNNNNNNNNNNNNNNNNNNNNNNNNNNNNNNNNNNNNNNNNNNNNNNNNNNNNNNNNNNNNNNNNNNNNNNNNNNNNNNNNNNNNNNNNNNNNNNNNNNNNNNNNNNNNNNNNNNNNNNNNNNNNNNNNNNNNNNNNNNNNNNNNNNNNNNNNNNNNNNNNNNNNNNNNNNNNNNNNNNNNNNNNNNNNACGCCGCCGCUGCCAACGCCGUCGCCUCCUCGAGCCCGCGCCAUCCUCGUCGCCGGCAUCCCCGAGCCCGCCGUCCUCGUCGUCCCCGUCGUCGUGUGCCUCCCCGAGCCCACCCCUCAUCGUCCCUGUUGCCGCGUGCCGUCCUGAGACCGCCGUCCCCGUCACCCCGUGCCACCCCGAGCCCGCCGUCCUCGUCGCCGGACUCCUGCCAUCGCCGUCCCCCUCGAAGUGAGCCUCCCCCCUUUCCCAUGGUCCCGAUCGAGCGCCGCUCUUGCGCCCGAGCGCCCCUUGCUCUCUGCCCCUGCUCCAUGGUCGCCGCCGGCCCCGACGCAUUGAAGAGCAGGAGAGGAGAAGGAGUGGAGCAGCAGCAACACACCAUCCAAUUUUCUAAAAUUUCAGAAUUUUUUUACAUAUAUGAAGAGUGCAUAUAGAGGGUGUUUGAUCAAAUGCUAGAUGGCUUUGGGCAUUUUUAGAAUUUAUGAUAUUUUUUGUGGUGAGGUACUGAUGCAAGACAAAGGUGAUGGCAAAAUUUCAGAAUUUUUGGAUUGGUUUGGAAUAGGUUUCAGCAAGGAAUUUGAAUCUGGUUCAAAUUUAUUUGAAUGAAAUUUGAAAAUUUUGAACUAUGGAUCAGAAGGUUUUUGGUGAAAUGGAGUGUGGGUACUGUCAUGAAGUUGGAGUAAUUUUUGUGGUUGUAAAAGAGUUAGGAAAAUUUAGAAUGUGCUAAAUAUGUCAAAAAUGUUUUUUUUUUCAUUGAAAGUUUUUUGUUCAUAGAAAGUUUUUUGUUCAUAUACAGAAAGUUUGUAUAUAUGACUAUGGAUAUAUGAGCAAUGAUGAUCCAUGGAUGUAUGCAUUGAUAUAUAUGAGAAACGAUGUUCAUAGAAUAUUUACCAAGUAUAUAUGUAUUUUUGUUCAUAGCAUUUUUUUCCAUUUAUAUAUGUAUGUGGCUAUAGAUGGAUAUAUAUGAGAAAUGAUGAUCCAUGGAAAAGUUUUAUAUAUGCAAGAGUUACAUUUUUAGAAAAGUUUUAUAUAUCUAGCUAGGAAAGGAAGAAGAAGAAAAAGAAGGAGAGGAAAAACGAAAAUAAGAAGAGGAAGAAAGGAGAAGAGGAGGAGAGGAAGAAGAGGAGAAAUAAAUAAGAAGAGGAAAAAAGAAGAAUAAGAAGAGGAGAAGAAGAAAGGAAUAUAGGAGAAGAAGAAAAAAUAGAAUAUUUUCUAUUUUUUCUUCUUCUCCUCUAUUCCUUUCUUCUUCUCCUCUUUUUUUUCUUCUUUUUUUCUUCGAUCUUCUCCUCUAUUCCUUUCUUCUUCUCCUCUUUUUAUUUCUUCUUUGUCUUCUUAUUUUUUAUCGGAUAUGUCCUUGUUGAUAUACCCCCUCCCCGAUAACAUUAUUUUCCCAUCUAUGUAUGUCGUCGUUGUCGAUAUAUAUAACUCCCUCCCAGAUAACUUCGACGUGAUGGACGGUCGAUAUUUAUACCCCCUCUCGAGCGUGAUAACUUAUACCACGGGAGCACCCCCCCCGGCCCUCUCGCUCGACCAAAACUCUCGAGGACACCCAAAUCCUAGAAAAAAACGAUGUUGGUCUCCUACCCCCUCCCGCCGCGCCCCUACCCGAUCGACAUACUCUCUUGAGGCCACCCAAAUUUACCAAGUUAAAAGAGCGUUGUCGUCGAGGCCACCCCGAACCCCUUGAAGCGUUGUUGAGGCCACCCCAAACCCUUGAAGUGUUGCCGAGGCCACCCCAAACCCUAGAGAAGCGUCGAGGCCAUGCCACUAAUAUGAUUCCUUAUUGUGCUUAGCUAGCUAGCUAGUUCAACAUUUGCCACUAAUAUAUCCAUCUGUCAUGUUUGAAUAAUAAUUGCCAUGUUGUAAAUAUUUGCAGAAACUAUGGAUCCGCACCCCCGAGACGAAGCAAAAGAAGCGGUGUUGGGGGAGAUAAUCGCACACGAAAGUGAUGUCGUCUUGUCUUUUCUCAACGACACAUGCACCGAUCGUCUGGAAAGACAGGAUGAAGAAGCGGGCUAUGACGAUGAUCAAACAAUGGAGGACGAAGGACACCGUGAUGACAGCUCCGGUGACCGAAUGGAGGGGGAAGGACAGGAUGAAGAAGCAGGCUCCGGUGACCGAACGGAGUCCGGCCAGGUAUAUAUAUUAAUUAAUUAAGCAUGUGCUGACUAUAGCUAAUUGAUGCAUUAAUUGUUUUUGGUAUGUACACAUAUUAACUCUCUUCUUUUUCUUCUUUUCUAGCCCUCCGGAUCGAGCAACACUUCGGUAACGAGAUGAGGCCCGAAGAGAAAGUUGCGCGCGGAAGAAAGGUACACGAUCAUCGAAAUUGAUCGCGCUGGCCAACCGAUUGAACCCCUCCGGACCAAGCAAAAAUUUAAUGCUCAGUGCGGGGUUCUAGUGAGGGACAUGAUCCCGAUCAGCAUCGAGCAAUGGUUGAAGCCUAAGGACAAAGACUCUCAGGUGUCUUAUGUCAGCGAUAGGCAGAAAGCUGAUCUUUGGACCGUGCUGCAGGAAAAUUUCACCUUCCCACCAGAGGAGGAUCCGGAGAAUCUAGUUAAAAAGCCAAUGAUCAAGGCUUAUGCUCUUAAGAAGAUGGCUGAGCUAUUCAGGAGGUGGAAGAAUGAGCUGAAAUCAUCGUUUGUCGACCAAGACAAGACUCCAGAAUUCAUCGGCCAAUUUGAGAAGAUCAAAGAUCAGUGGCCCGAAUUUGUCACCAAAAAAAAAUCUGAGAGAGCAGCAAAGAUGUCAGCGACAAACAAGAAAAAUUCUGCAAAGAAGAAGCAUCACCAUCACACGGGGUCAGGUGGCUACCUGAAAGCCCGGCCGUUGUGGGACAAGGCUGAGAAUGACCUCAUUGAUAAAGCGAUCGAACCAGAGACGCGACACUGGCCAGACCGUUGCAGGACUUGGUUCUUCGGGGUUGGGGGAAAAUUGGACCCUGUAACAGGGAAGUGCGUUUGGACCGACGAGCAGCUGAACACACCCAUCGAGAAGCUUCAGGAGUAUAUCGAAAAGGCGCAGCAAGGGACGUUCGUUCCGGACAGAGAGAACGACGAGCUCACAGAGGCCCUCGGGAAUCCUGAGCACCCCGGACGGACACGAGGCACGCUAGGCUACCUUUCGUGGAAGGCUGAAUUUCCCGACGCAGGCGGUUACAAACGCCAGGAGAGGAAGAAGAAAAACGAGUUGGCCCAACUACAGGCGCUGCACGCAAGGGUACAAGCGGUAGAGGAACGAGAGGCAGUUCGCAGCACGCGACCUGCUGAAGCUACACCCGAAGCUACCCCGCCAUCUCAGCGGAGAAGCAGCGUGGCUUCCACGGAGCUGCUUCAGGAGCUUGUCUUCACGGCUCCUGCUAGCUACCCUGUAGAUGCUAUCACGGAGUCUCAGCAUUGCCACCUUAUGACGCAGUGGAUGGAAUUGAAAGUCAAGGCAGCUGUUGGCACUGUUGCACCUCCUGAACCUGGCGCAACUUUUCACUGCCGGCCAAUUCCAGAAGGAUAUGCUAGGGUGAUGGUGGAUGAAAUCAUAGAAGGAUUUGAGGACCUCCAGCUUGACCACCCUACGGGUGAAGGGGAGACACGGCUGGGUUCUUGUCUGAAGACUCCAUGCCUAUGGCGGAAGGAGCUCAUCAACCUUCCUAACUGGAUGCCUCCGCCUCCUCCUCCUCCUUCGGCGAGUUAGGGCACUCCGCCUCCUCCACCGCCUCCUCCUCCGGCGAGUGAUGAUCAGGGCACUCAGCCUCCUUCUCCGGCGUGUGGCAGCACUCCGCCUCCUUCUCCGCCUGUGCCCGUGCGCCCGAGCAGCCACCAGCCUCCUCCUUCUCCGCCUCGCCAGCAAGGGCGGAAGAGACCCGCCGCCGCCCCGGCUGCUCCGGCACGUCGUAGUCCUUCUCCUCUGCCUCGUAAGCAAGCACGAAAGAAGACAGCCGCAGCCGUUCCGUCUGCUCCGGCGUCUAGCAGUACAGCCAGAGGCGGGAGGCAAUACAGAUACGGUCCACCUCUCAAGCCUCUAGAGAAGUUACCGUACGAGAGGACCGAGGAGGAAAACGCGAAGAUCGUGCGGACCAAAGUGAAGGACUUCUUUGAAGGGUUGAAAGCAAAGAGACAUCCACCUCCGGAGGAGAAGGUGUUGGAAAUAUGCCCUAGAGGCAAUAAUAAAAUGGUUAUUAUUAUAUUUCCUUGUUCAUGAUAAUUGUCUAUUGUUCAUGUUAUAAUUGUGUUAUCCGGAAAUCGUAAUACAUGUGUGAAUACAUAGACCACAACAUGUCCCUAGUGAGCCUCUAGUUGACUAGCUCGUUGAUCAACAGAUAGUCAUGGUUUCCUGACUAUGGACAUUGGAUGUCAUUGAUAAUGGGAUCACAUCAUUAGGAGAAUGAUGUGAUGGACAAGACCCAAUCCUAAGCAUAGCGCAAAGAUCGUGUAGUUCGUUUGCUAGAGCUUUUUCCAAUGUCAAGUAUCUUUUCCUUAGACCAUGAGAUCGUGUAACUCCCGAAUGCCGUAGGAGUGCUUUGGGUGUACCAAACGUCACAACGUAACUGGGUGGCUAUAAAGGUACACUACAGGUAUCUCUGAAAGUGUCUGUUGGGUUGACACGGAUCGAGACUGGGAUUUGUCACUCCGUAUGACGGAGAGGUAUCUCUGGGCCCACUCGGUAAUGCACCAUCAUAAUGAGCUCAAUGUGACUAAGGAGUUAGCCACGGGAUCAUGCAUUACGGUACGAGUAAAGAGACUUGCCGGUAACGAGAUUGAACAAAGUAUUGGGAUACCGACGAUCGAAUCUCGGGCAAAAUAAAUGGAUCUUUAAGAAGAAGACAGACGCGGAUGGUAAUGUGACCAUCUAUAAGGCUCGACUUGUCGCUAAGGGUUAUCGACAAGUUCAAGGGGUUGACUACGAUGAGACUUUCUCACCCGUAGCGAAGCUGAAGUCCGUCUGAAUCAUGUUAGCAAUUGCCGCAUUCUAUGAUUAUGAGAUAUGGCAAAUGGACGUCAAAACGGCAUUCCUUAACGGCUUUCUUAAGGAAGAAUUGUAUAUGAUGCAGCCGGAAGGUUUUGUCGAGCCUAAGAAGCUAACAAGGUAUGCAAGCUCCAUCUAUGGGCUGGUGCAACCAUCUCGGAGUUGGAACAUUCGAUUUGAUGAGAUGAUCAAAGCGUUUGGGUUUACACAGACUUAUGGAGAAGCCUGUGUUUACAAGAAAGUGAGUGGCAGCUCUGUAGCAUUUCUCAUGUUAUAUGUGGAUGACAUACUGUUGAUGGGAAAUGAUAUAGAAUUCUUGGAAAGUAUAAAGGCCUAUUUGAAUAAGUGUUUUUCAAUGAAGGACCUUGGAGAAGAUGCUUAUAUAUUAGGCAUCAAGAUCUAUAGAGAUAGAUCGAGACGCCUUAUUGGUCUUUCACAGAGUACGUACCUUGACAAGAUAUUGAAGAAGUUCAAUAUGGAUCAGUCCAAGAAGGGGUUCUUGCCUGUAUUGCAAGGUGUGCAAUUGAGCAUGGCUCAAUGCCCGACCACGGCAGAAGGUAGAGAAAAGAUGAGUGUCGUCCCCUAUGCCUCGGCCAUAGGGUCUAUUAUGUAUGCCAUGCUGUGUACCAGACCUGAUGUAAACCUUGCCAUAAGUUUGGUAGGAAGGUACCAAAGUAAUCCCGGCAUGGAACACUGGACAGCGGUCAAGAAUAUCCUGAAGUACCUGAAAAGGACUAAGGAUAUGUUUCUCGUUUAUGGAGGUGACGAAGAGCUCGUCGUAAAGGGUUACGUCGACGCUAGCUUCGACACAGAUCUGGAUGACUCUAAGUCACAAACCGGAUACGUGUAUAUUUUGAAUGGGGGGGCAGUAAGCUGGUGCAGUUGCAAGCAAAGCGUCGUGGCGGGAUCUACAUGUGAAGCGGAGUACAUGGCGGCCUCAGAGGCAGCACAAGAAGCAAUCUGGAUAAAGGAGUUCAUUACCGACCUAGGGGUGAUUCCCAAUGCGUCGGGCCCGAUGACUCUCUUCUGUGACAACACUGGAGCUAUUGCCCAUGCUAAGGAGCCCAGGUUUCACAGGAAGACCAGGCAUAUCAAACGUCGCUUCAACUCCAUUCGUGAAAAUGUUCAAAAUGGAGACAUAGAUAUUUGUAAAGUACAUACGGACCUGAAUGUAGCAGAUCCGUUGACUAAACCUCUCCCUAGAGCAAAACAUGAUCAACACCAGAACUCUAUGGGUGUUCGAUACAUCACAAUGUAACUAGAUUAUUGACUCUAGUGCAAGUGGGAGACUGUUGGAAAUAUGCCCUAGAGGCAAUAAUAAAAUGGUUAUUAUUAUAUUUCCUUGUUUAUGAUAAUUGUCUAUUGUUCAUGCUAUAGUUGUGUUAUCCGGAAAUCAUAAUACAUGUGUGAAUACAUAGACCACAACAUGUCCCUAGUGAGCCUCUAGUUGACUAGCUCGUUGAUCAACAGAUAGUCAUGGUUUCCUGAAUAUGGACAUUGGAUGUCAUUGAUAACGGGAUCACAUCAUUACGAGAAUGAUGUGAUGGACAAGACCCAAUCCUAAGCAUAGCGCAAAGAUCGUGUAGUUCGUUUGCUAGAGCUUUUUCCAAUGACAAGUAUCUUGUCCUUAGACCAUGAGAUCGUGUAACUCCCGGAUGCCGUAGGAGUGCUUUGGGUGUACCAAACGUCACAACGUAACUGGGUGGCUAUAAAGGUACACUACAGGUAUCUCUGAAAGUGUCUGUUGGGUUGACACGGAUCGAGACUGGGAUUUGUCACUCCGUGUGACGGAGAGGUAUCUCUGGGCCCACUCGGUAAUGCAUCAUCAUAAUGAGCUCAAUGUGACUAAGGAGUUAGCCACGGGAUCAUGCAUUACGGUACGAGUAAAGAGACUUGCCGGUAACGAGAUUGAACAAGGUAUUGGGAUACCGACGAUCGAAUCUCGGGCAAGUAACAUACCGAUUGACAAAGGGAAUUGUAUACGGGAUUGAUUGAAUCCUCGACAUCGUGGUUCAUCCGACGAGAUCAUCGUGGAACAUGUGGGAGCCAACAUGGGUAUCCAGAUCCCGCUGUUGGUUAUUGACCGGAGAGUCUUCUCGGUCAUGGCUGCAUGUCUCCCGAACCCGUAGGGUCUACACACUUAAGGUUCGGUGACGCUAGGGUUAUAGAGAUAUUAGUAUGCGGAAACCCGAAAGUUGUUCGGAGUACCGGAUGAGAUCCCGGACGUCACGAGGAGUUCCGGAAUGGUCCGGAGGUGAAGAAUUAUAUAUAGGAAGUCCAGUUUCGGCCACCAGGAAAGUUUCGGGGGUUAUCAGUAUUGUACUGGGACCACCGGAAGGGUCCCGGGGGUCCACCGGGUGGGGCCACCUAUCCCGGAGGGCCCCAUGGGCUGAAGUGGGAGGGAAACCAGCCCCUGGUGGGCUGGUGUGCCCCCCAUGGGCGUCCCCCCGCGCCUAGGGUUGGAAACCCUGGGGGUGGGGGCGCCCCACCUGNNNNNNNNNNNNNNNNNNNNNNNNNNNNNNNNNNNNNNNNNNNNNNNNNNNNNNNNNNNNNNNNNNNNNNNNNNNNNNNNNNNNNNNNNNNNNNNNNNNNNNNNNNNNNNNNNNNNNNNNNNNNNNNNNNNNNNNNNNNNNNNNNNNNNNNNNNNNNNNNNNNNNNNNNNNNNNNNNNNNNNNNNNNNNNNNNNNNNNNNNNNNNNNNNNNNNNNNNNNNNNNNNNNNNNNNNNNNNNNNNUAUAUAUAGUGGGGGGAGGGAGGGCAGCAGCACGCUAGCCCCUGGCGCCUCCCUCUCCCUCCCGUGACACCUCUCCCUCCCGCUUGCGCUUGGCGAAGCCCUGCCGGGAUCCCGCUACUUCCACCACCACGCCGUCGUGCUGCUGUAUCUCCAUCAACCUCUCCUUCCCCCUUGCUGGAUCAAGAAGGAGGAGACGUCUUCCCAACCGUACGUGUGUUGAACGCGGAGGUGCCGUCCGUUCGGCACUCGGUCAUCGGUGAUUUGGAUCACGACGAGUAUGACUCCAUCAACCCCGUUCUCUUGAACGCUUCCGCUCGCGAUCUACAAGGGUAUGUAGAUGCACUCCUUCCCUCUCGUUGCUAGUAAACUCCAUAGAUGGAUCUUGGUGAUGCGUAGAAAAAUUUAAAAUUCUGCUACGAUCCCCAACAGAAGGUAGAUCCGGUGAAAGCAAAGCACACUAUUGAUGCCCUGAGGAAACCACCAAAGUCUCCGACGAAAACCAACUAUGAGCGCGUUAUUGAAAAGGCAUAUCUCGAAGCGGAGUGGUCCGGAAGUACUGUCAGUGAUCAAAGGUUGAAACAACGACGAGCACUUGGGAAAAAAAUUGCCCAGCUCGGCGAACAAGCAAACCAAUUGUGCCCCCCGCUCAAUGUGUCUAGCGACAUCGUCGCUAAUGCUCCGGGGAUGGUGCCCGGUUAUAGCAAUCUUGGAGAUUACCUGCCCGACGAUGUACAUUAUGAUUUCUUGGAGGUGGACGAACACAGAUACGAGUACGGUUAGCCUCUCGUCAAAGAUGAAAAAUCUCUAACAACGAUGAUGCGAAGAUUCCAUAAUUGGUACAUGAAAACCUGCAGAGAGUCUGGGGGGACGAUUACUUUGUAUCUGAGAGUUAAAGAGGAGCACGACCUCGUUCGAACUGAUCUGUUGCAUGUUCCAUUUGAGGAGUUCUUCCAGUUCUUCAAUCAAAAGGCCCUCGAUAAAUUAACGGUCACUUGCUACUGUCUGUAAGUACUACUUCUGUCAUUAAGUCUCUAUAUAUGGCUCAGCUCUUUCAUUGCAUGUAUUUAUAAUUAUCCUCACUAUAUUAUGCAGAUUGAAGAUCAUCGAGUGCAGAAAAGCAGAAAUGUAUGAUAUUGGGUUCAUUAACACAUAUCUCAUAGAUGAAUUUCAGGUUAAAAAGAACGCCGAAGAGGCCGAGGCCAACUUGCUCAAAUCAUUGUUAAUAAAUCAAAACAAAGAUUUAAUACUCUUUCCUUACAACUUCAAGUGAGUGUUACUAUCGUGUGCAUAUUCGGUUUCCCUUAUUACUCGAGCGAGGUUAUAGUAAUGUAAUUGAUGAGUUAUGCAUGUGUGCGCAGCUUCCACUAUAUUCUCCUGGAGAUUAAGCUUCAGCGGGGACUAGUAACCGUCUUAGACUUGAGACGAAAAGAUCACGAGACCUAGGCGGACAUGACUAAAACUCUCAACAAGUAAGUUGAACCGAUCAUUAUCGCACCAUAUCAGCAACUUUUUGUUCAUUUCCCGAUGUCUCAAGUAAUAAUUAUUCUCUUUGUCUUGCAGGGUUUGGAAACAGUUCACCGCAGAAGCUCCGGGACUGCCGAAGGAGCUACAAUAUAGAUACCCGAAAGUAAGUACUACUAGCUAGCUAGUUGCGCGCAUCUCCCGUUGAUUCUAGCUACUUUCAUCAAUGCCAUUUAUAAUGCUUCAUUAUCAGUUUGAUUGACCUCUAUUUCUCGUAAAGUGCUUGUGGCAGGAACAAGGGAAUGAUUACUGUGGAUACUACGUGUGCGAGUUCAUCUACAACGCGACUUUGAAAAAUAAGCGGGGCUACUCUAAAAUACAAUAUGAAGUGCGUAAGCAAUAAUAUUCACAAUUUCAUUUUAUUACACCAUCAUUUCUGUUGAGUUUCAUUCAUAUAUAUGUAUUAACCCCCUUCUUCAAAUUAGACGUGGCAGAUGCGGAAUGAACUCCUACCACAAGAUCGAAUGAAAGCAAUUCAAGAGGAAUUGGUGGGAUUCUUUCUUGACCACGUCAUCAAUAAAGCCGGAGAAUACCAUGUGGAAGUUGAGUUCAAAUGCUAGGGGAUUGUAAGAGAUCUUACAUAUUGUAUAUGUAUGUAGCCAGUAGCGUCGAUUAGAUAAUACGAAAACUUGUUGUUCGACCAAUCUCUCGGAGAAGGAGAGGUGGAUCACUUCUCUCGGUAUGCAUGACGAACUUCUAUACUUAAUGGUUUCCUUCAUUUUCUUACUAGCUAGCGUGUCGAGGGACUCUCUAUGUAUAGUAUGUAGCGUCGACCAAGCACGGAGAUAAGAGAGGACACUUCUCUCUAUUAAUUAAUUAUCUACCUAACAAAGUAUAUGAAACACCUUAAUUAACCAUACAAAACCCCCAAAUCCACCCCCCCUUUCCGAAAAAAAAACAAAAACCCUAGCCCCCGAACAGCUGACGCGUGGAUGCCUAUUGGUCCCGGUUGGUGCCACCAACCGGGACUAAAGGGCCUCCUGCCUGGGCUCGCAGCACCGGCCACGUGGAGGCCCAUCUGUCCCAGUUAGUAUAAGAACCGGGACUAAAGGCCUAGGCAUUAGUAAUGACCAUUUAGUCCCGGUCCCCCAACCGGGACAGAUGGGCCUUAUGAACUGGGACAAAUGGCCCUUUUUCUACUAGUGUCAUUUCGAAUACCGUGGAACCGGAGAAAUUUCGAAUAACACUAUGUUACCUCAACGGGGAUAUGCACAUCCCCAAUAAUAAGAAUAUCAUAUAUUUUUUUUGACAGUAGAAAGAGGAAAUUCAAUACCUCCAAAAAUAAUUGAUGGAAUAUUUCCAAUAGAAUUGAUACUGUGGACUUGAGGUUGUUUCCUCGGAAAGUGUACCGUAUGCUCAUUACCAUUAACAUGAAAAGUAACAUUGCCUUUGUUGCAAUCAAUAACAGUCCCUGCAGUAUUCCAAAAGGGUCUUCCAAGAAUAAUAGACAUACUAUCGUCCUCGGGAAUAUCCAGAAUAACAAAGUCCGUUAAAAUAGUAACGUUUGCAACCACAACAGGCACAUCCUCACAAAUACCGACAGGUAUAGCAGUUGAUUUAUCAGCCAUUUGCAAAGAUAUUUCAGUAGGUGUCAAUUUAUUCAAGUCAAGUCUACGAUAUAAAGAGAGAGGCAUAGCACUAACACCGACUCCAAGAUCACAUAAAGCAGUUUUAACAUAGUUUCUUUUAAUGGAGCAUGGUAUAGUAGGUACUCCUGGAUCUCCAAGUUUCUUUGGUAUUCCACCCUUAAAAGUAUAAUUAGCAAGCAUGGCGGAAAUUUCAGCUUCCGGUAUCUUUCUUUUAUUAGUAACAAUUUCUUUCAUAUACGUAGCAUAAGGAUUCAUUUUGAGCAUAUCAGUUAAUCGCAUACGCAAAAAGAUAGGUCUAAUCAUUUUAGCAAAGCGCUCAAAAUCCGCAUCAUCCUUUUUCUUGGAUGGUUUCGGAGGAAAAGGCAUGGAUUUCUGAACCCAAGGUUCCCUUUCUUUACCAUGUUUCCUAGCAACAAAGUCUCUCUUAUCAUAAUGUUUAUUCUUUGAUUGUGGGUUAUCAAGAUCAACAGCAGGUUCAAUUUCUAGAUCGUUGUCCUUGCUAGGUUGAGCAUCAUCAUGAACAUCAUCAUUAACAUUUUCAUUAGGUUCAUGUUCAUUACGAGAUUGUGUUUCAGCAUCAGAAAUAGAUAUAUCAUUUGGAUUCUCAGGUGGUUCAGCAAUAGGUUCACUAGAAGCAUGCAAAGUCAUAUCAUUUUUCUUUUUCUUCUUUGUAGCAGGACUAGGUGCAUCAACAUUAUUUCUCUGAGAAUCUUGUUCAAUUCUCUUAGGGUGGCCUUCAGGAUACAAAGGUUCCUGAGUCAUUUUACCAGUUCUAGUAGCCACUCUAACAGCAUAAUCAUUUUUCUUACUAUUCAAUUCAUUGAGCAAAUCAUUUUGAGCUUUAAGUACUUGUUCUACUUGAGUGGUAACCAUAGAAGCAUGUUUGCUAAUGAGUUUAAGUUCACCCUUAACAUUAGCCAUGUAAUCACCCAAGUGUUCAAUCAUAUAGGCAUUUUGUUUUAAUUGUCUACCAAAAUAAGCAUUAAAAUCUUCUUGCUUGACCAUAAAGUUAUCAAACUCAUCCAAACAUUGGCUAGCAAACUUAGUAGGAGGGAUUUCAGCUUCAUCAUAUCUAUAGAGAGAAUUUACCUUUACUACCUGUGUCGGGUUAUCAAGACCAUGAGUUUCUUCAAUAGGUAAUGGAUUAAGAUCAUAUGUUUCUUCAACAGGCGGUAAAUUAAGACCAUGUAUUUCUUCAAUAGGAGGUAAAUUCUUAACAUCUUCAGCCUUUAUACCCUUUUCUUUCAUGGAUUUCUUUGCCUCUUGCAUAUCUUCAGGACUGAGAACUAGAACACCUCUUUUCUUCGGAGUUGGUUUAGGAAUAGGCUCAGGAAUUGGCUCAGGAGCUGGCUCAGGAAGUGUCCAAUUAUUUUCAUUUGUCAACAUAUUAUUCAAUAGAAUUUCAGCUUCAUCCGGUGUUCUUUCCCUGAAAACAGAACCAGCACAGCUAUCCAGGUAAUCUCUGGAAGCAUCGGUUAGUCCAUUAUAAAAGAUAUCAAGUAUUUCAUUUUUCUUAAGAGGAUGAUCAGGCAAAGCAUUAAGUAAUUGGAGAAGCCUCCCCCAAGCUUGUGGGAGACUCUCUUCUUCAAUUUGCACAAAAUUAUAUAUAUCCCUCAAAGCAGCUUGUUUCUUAUCAGCAGGGAAAUAUUUAGCAGAGAAGUAAUAAAUCAUAUCCUGGGGACUACGCACACAACCAGGAUCAAGAGAAUUAAACCAUAUCUUAGCAUCACCCUUUAAUGAGAACGGAAAUAUUUUAAGGAUAUAAAGGUAGCGAGAUUUCUCAUCAUUAGUGAACAGGGUGGCUAUAUUGUUUAAUUUAGUAAGAUGUGCCACAACAGUUUCAGAUUCAUAGCCAUGAAAAGGAUCAGAUUCAACCAAAGUAAUUAUAUCAGGAUCAAUAGAGAAUUCAUAAUCCUAAUCAGUAACACAGAUAGGUGAAGUAGCAAAAGCAAGGUCAGCUUUCAUUCUAGCAUUAAGAGAUUGUUGCUUCCAUUUAGCUAAUAACCUCUUGAGCUCGUAUCUAUCUUUGCAAGCUAAAAUAGCUAUAGCACCUUCUUUUUCCAAAACAUAACCCUCAGAAACAACAGGCGAUUCAUAUUUACUAGGGGGAGAGUCUUCAUCAUCACUUUCAUCAAUGUUAUCAGUUUCAAUAAUUUCAUUCUCUCUAACCCUAGCAAGCUGUUCAUCAAGAAAAUCACCAAGUGGCACAAUAGUAUCAAGCAUAGAAGUAGUUUCAUCAUAUGUAUCAUGCAUAGUAGAAGUGGCAUCAUCAAUAACAUGUGACAUAUCACAACGAAUAGCAGAAGCAGGUUUUGGUGUCGCAAGCUUACUCAAAACAGAAGGUGAAUCAAGUGCAAAGCUUGAUGGCAGUUCCUUACCUCCCCUCGUAGUUGAGGGAUAGAUUUUUGUUUUCUCGUCUUUCAAGUUCUUCAUAGUGACCAGCAGAUAUAAAUCCCAAGUGACUCAAAAAAUAGAGCUAUGCUCCCCGGCAGCGGCGCCAGAAAAUAGUCUUGAUAACCCACAAGUAUAGGGGAUCGCAACAGUUUUCGAGAGUAGAGUAUUCAACCCAAAUUUAUUGAUUCGACACAAGGGGAGCCAAAGAAUAUUCUCAAGUAUUAGCAGUUGAGUUGUCAAUUCAACCACACCUGGAUAACUUAGUAUCUGCAGCAAAGUAUUUAGUAGCAAAGUAAUAUGUAAGUAAAGGUAACGGUAGCAAAAGUAAUAUUUUUGGGUUUUGUAGUGAUUGUAACAGUAGCAAUGGAAAAGUAAAUAAGCGAAGAACAAUAUGUGAAAAGCUCGUAGGCAUUGAAUCGGUGAUGGAGAAUUAUGCCGAAUGCGGUUCAUCAUGUAACAAUCAUAACAUAGGGUGACACAGAACUAGCUCCAAUUCAUUAAUUUAAUGUGGGCAUGUAUUCCGAAUAUAGUCAUACGUGCUUAUAGAAAAGAACUUGCAUGACAUCUUUUGUCCUACCCUCCCGUGGCAGCGGGGUCCUAAUGGAAACUAAGGGAUAAUAAGGCCUCCUUUUAAUAGAGUACCGGAACAAAGCAUUAACACAUAGUGAAUACAUGAACUCCUCAAACUACGGUCAUCACUGGGAGUGGUCCCGAUUAUUGUCACUUCGGGGUUGCCGGAUCAUAACACAUAGUAGGUGACUAUAGACUUGCAAGAUAGGAUCAAGAACUCACAUAUAUUCAUGAAAACAUAAUAGGUUCAGAUCUGAAAUCAUGGCACUCGGGCCCUAGUGACAAGCAUUAAGCAUAGCAAAGUCAUAGCAACAUCAAUCUCAGAACAUAGUGGAUAUUUGGGAUCAAACCCUAACAAAACUAACUCGAUUACACGAUAAAUCUCAUCCAACCCGUCAUCGUCCAGCAAGCCUAUGAUGGAAUUACUCACGCACGGCGGUGAGCAUCAUGAAAUUGGUGAUGGAGGAUGGUUGAUGAUGACGAUGGCGACAGAUUGCCCUCUCCGGAGCCCCGAACGGACUCUAGAUCAGCCCUCCCGAGAGGUUUUAGGGCUUGGCGGUGGCUCCGUAUCGUAAAACGCGAUGAAUCCUUCUCUCUGGUUUUUUCUCUCCCCGAAAGUGAAUAUAUGGAGUUGGAGUUGAGGUCGGUGGAGCGUCAGGGGGCCCACGAGGCAGGUGGCGCGCCCAGGGGGGUAGGCGCUCCCCCCACCCUCGUGGACAGGGUGUGGGCCCCCUGACGUGGAUUUUUCUUCCAGUAUUUUUAAUAUUUUCCAAAAAGAUGUUCCGUGGAGUAUCAGGUCAUUCCGAGAUUUUUUGUUUCUGCACAUAAAUAACACCAUGGAAAGUCUGCUGAAAACAGCGUCAGUCCGGGUUAGUUCCAUUCAAAUCAUGCAAGUUAGAGUCCAAAACAAGGGCAAAAGUGUUUGGAAAAGUAGAUAUGAUGGAAAGGUAUCAUUUCCCUCCCCAGAUCUGCGGGGCUCCUCUCCUCCCGGCCCCCGCGCUCGGCUAUCCCGCCUUCCCUCCAUGGCCGCUGCUACAAUUGUGGUGAGGACGACGGCCACAUCUCGCGCCACUGCACCAACCCGACCAAGUGUGUGCGUUCCGGUGGGUUCAACCACAUCUCUCGCGGUUGCACCCGUCCGAGGAGCCCCUCGGGCUCGCCGCCGGCGCGCCUGCCCCCUGCGCUACGUCUACAGGUCUCUCCGCCCUCGCCUGGUUCCCUCCCUACGCCGCCCGCUGGCCCUCCGCCACCGGGCGCUGUUCGGCUCGUCGACUCCCCCCCGGGUCGCGACCGCCCCCUCCCCCCCCCACGCCGGCUGGGGCGUUCCGGGCGGGGCGUUCAUGGGCGCAGGUGGCCAGUGUUGCAUCCGCUUCGUCUGCGCAGAGUGUGGCUGGUCCGGGAUUCUCUGUUCUGUAAGCGUCGGAGUCUCCGUGUCGCCCCGUCAUCGAACCGGUGGUGGACUGCUGCUUCCUCGAUAGGGCGGCCGACGUCCGCGCUUUGGAGGAGGAGUUGUCGCGGGCGGUGGUGGUGUCUGUCUCGGCGGCAAACCAGGUGGUGGACCUCGCCGUGGCGGCACAGACGCUGCAUGGGGAGUUUGAUCUCGCCCCCCUCGACAUGCAGGUCCAAGGCUACGCGAGACCGGAUGGUGGCCAAAGGUCAUGCCGACGUGCCGCAGUUCUUGCUGCUGCUACGCCCAUGGCUGCGGCAAGACAGGGCGACGGGCAUUUCAAUGCCUUUCCUGGUGCAGCUCUUAUUGGUGGGCGUUCCGGCGAACGCGUGGACCAGACGCACGGCGGAUGUGCUGCUUCGUGACCUCGACACGGUGGUCAAGGCGGCGGACCGGACUACGCGCCGGGACGACAUGGCUAGCUUCCACGUUUGGUUAUGGACUGAUGAUCCGGCACGGGUUCCACCUCGGCACAUCCUCGUCGUGGAGGAGCCGGCUCAACACGGGGCGGGACUGGCCGUUGCCGGCGUGGACGCUUUGUGGUAUCCUAUGGACAUCUUCGUCGAUGCUGAGCCAGUCAGGGUUGGGUGCCAGGAUCUUCCGCCGCCGCCGCCGGACGUGGAGGAUGCGACCCAGAGUGGGGAUUCAUCGGACGCCCGCCUGGCUUCCAGCGCCCCAACGCUGGUCACCACGGGCAGGCACCUGCGCUUGCCCACCCUCCCGCCCAUCCUGGAGGCCGGCCGGCGCCACUUGCCAGGGUGUUGGACGCUUCGCCGCCGGCGAGCACGCGGCCAGUUCAAAUUUCGGCGGUGGUUCGGUCGCCCGCGCGCUCUGCUGGUCGCGAUGGUGUCACGGUGGGGUCAGGGAAUGACGCCCAAAGCACGCUCGGGUUGGUACAAGGGGCCCCAUCAGGGGGCAGGUGCAUGGUGAGUAGUGUGGAUGAGUAGCUGGCUCUGGCCGAAAGCGGUGUGGGUCCGGAGUCCAGUCGUGGCUCGGCGUCUCCCCUAGCUGGCCAAGUGGAGGUGGGGUCCCUUGCCUCGGUGAUGCUGCCGCAGUGGCAUGGAUCCCACGCGCGGCAAGAGGAGGCUAGCGUUCGUGCUACCUCGGAUCCGGCGCGGUCGGCCCUGGCGUUCCGCGUCGGGACAACUCAGCUGUCCACACCCGCGGGGGCCCGCCACUCGCAAUCUCCUGCAGCACCACACGACGACACGGAUUGGGCAGUGGACAUGCAACAAAUGGGAACUGAGCAUGCAGAACCAGCAUAUUCCGCGCACGUAGACCAGUCCGGAUUGGGGGAGGGACCGGAUCCCAUGCAACUCUCACCUCCCACGUCAAACUGCCAGUACAGCUCGGAGGCCUCUUCCAUUGCGCAUUGUGUGGGACAAGUUCAUGAGUUAGACACCUUCCUGGUUAGCCUCUCUGAGGAGGUUCGGACCCUGACACAUGAUGGGGAGGGGGCCCACCCGCAGCAGGAGUCCCAAUUGACUGCUUGCACACGCCUGGACGCAUUUUGCGCUCGAGUCCAAAGGGCGCUUUCUCCCAUUCUACAAAACCCAGCUUCUCGUGCCCCCGCAACGAAGCGUACCCGGCAGCGGAGGCAGGUGGCCCUGUCUACACUGAGGCGAAGUGUGCGCUUGGCAAGAAGAAGGGCACAUGGCUCAGCGGCAAGUAAGCAACAUCAAGUGAUCAUACGCAAGCUCUGCUUAGCCCACGAAGGGGACACGAUCGGAGAUGAGGCGUUCAAGGCGUACUUCCUCCUGUUCGAAUAGCCGCUCAAUGAUACCCACAUUGCUUCUAUACUUGCGCUCUUUGGCUGGGAGCCGUCGGCCCUCCCGAUGCAGGACGAGGUUGAAGGAGUGAGGGUUUAACACCCCUUUGCUCCGGUGGCAUUGGCGGGCUGUUCUUAUGGCUGAACAACCGAUAAAAAAUGCUUGUGUGGAAUGUUCGUGGGCUCAAUUCACCGGCGAGGCGGCACACUAUCUUCCAAGUGGUGGUCUCGGUAGACCCUAGCAUCGUGUGCUUCCAAGAAACUAAGUUGGAAGUUGUAACACUUGAGGUUGUCAAACAAUGCCUCGGUAAUAAAUUUGAAAGUUUUUACUACCUCCCAGCGAUUGGGACGUGCGGUGGCAUUCUGUUAGCUUGGGAUCCGCUUGUGCACUACAAAAAAAUACACUUCCGUGAUGAUACAUGUUAGUCACAGUAGGUCGCUUUUUUGUCAUGCAUGUACAUCCAUGACGAUUUUAUGACAGAAUCAAGAUAGUCAUACCUGUGCUGUCAUAGAAGUGUUCCAUGACAUUACCAAAAUUAUCAUCACGGAGGUGUCCACUUCCAUGACGAUAAAUCGCGCGUCACAGAAGUGCUUUCGUCAAGGGUGACCGACACGUGGCAUCCACCGUAUCGGAAUGCCGUUAAGCUAUGGGGUCUGGCUUUGGAUCCGAUAACCCGUUAACAGCCCCAACCAAUGGGAAAUUUCCACGUGUAAAAUUCUUAUUGGCCGGACGAAACACGUGUCAGCUCGUUAGUGGGUCACAUAGGCGCCUAUGAUAUGUCAACACGUGCCACGGCCCACCAUUGGCCCAUUUAGCUUACAAAGCCGGCCCGUUUGACAUGGUCAAAAGUUAACGGGUUGGCCCAUGAAAAGCCUGUUAACGGUCUCUUCGCAAAUAGCCCAUUUUACGUCCCGUUAACUCACGACCCGUUAGGCCCUAAAGGAAAUCGGCCCAACAACGUCAUGUGGGCCGUCGAAUAUAACACCAGCCCAUUUCACUUUUGGCCCAUGUAUGGCCCACGACGUCUUUCGGCCCAUAUGAGGCCUUCAUAUCUUUCGGCCCUUUACAGGCCCACGGUGACUCUAGCCCAUAAUGAACAGUAAUUUUCUUUAUACCCGUUAACGGCCCGUGAUUUACAUGCGCCGUUUCCAGCCCGUGUUAGCUUUCAGCCUAUUGACGGCCCAUACGUUCUUGGGCUCCUUUUCGGCCCUUGAUUACUUCCGGCCCGUUACUGGCCUGUUCCCCUAAUGGGCCAAAUUCGGCCCAUGGCAAGAGUCAGCCCGUUACUGGCCUGUUCCCCUAAUGGGCCAAAUUCGGCCCAUGGCAAGAGUCGGCCCGUUACUGGCCUGUUACCCUAAUGGGCCAAAUUCGGCCCAUGGCAAGAGUCGGCCCGUUACUGGCCUGUUACCCUAAUGGGCCAAAUUCGGCCCAUGGCAAGAGUCGGCCCGUUUCUAGCCUGUUAACCUGUUGCGCCGUUUCCAGCCCGUCCUAUAUUCUGGCCCAUUAACGACCCGUUAUGCCUGUGAUAGAAUUAAGCCUUUGCUGUCCUACGGCCUGUUAACGGCCUGUUACCAUGCUGGGCCGAUACCAAUUACGCCCGAUUACGGCCCAUGUAGACCCAUUUAUCCGACGGCCCGAGGCCCACCGAUUACAGGCCCAUUUAUCGACGGCCCAUAGGACACCCAUGGAUCCUACGACCCGUAUAUGGCCCAUGGUAGUUGCGGCCACUAGCAAACCAGGGAAAAAGAAGACAAGGAAAUAAAUAAGGCCGAAACUAACGCUAGGCUAUUAAGGCGAUUGCACAGAUUACAUCCACUCGGCAUCAAAGAUCGCCACCAGUGCAAAUACAGGGAACACCCUACACUAUACAAAAAUGGCUUGCUAUUUUCUUCAUCCGGUGGCUGCACGUUAAUAAUAAAUUUUGUAUCGCACCAAAACAAAUUACAACUAUAUAACAAAAUGAAGGUUGGCAUAAAACUUAAGAGUCUAGCAGAUAAAUGCACCACCAGAAGUUCAGAAGCUCAGUUCAUUUGACCUGACUGUUAUGUUUUCAUGCUCUAUUUUCUGAUGGAGCACCAUAACCCUUGCCUUCAUUUCCCCUAGGCUCCUGAACAACAUAGCAAAUGUCUGAUAGUGGUUUCAAAACCAUGCAUAUCUUGACGACAUUGAGCAAUGUUUCUCCUUAUUUCACAAAGGGUCUCUGUUAGGGAAUGGACUUGUGUCUGGAGCGCAGAUACAACAUUGCUUUGAGCUUGCAUAUCUUGAUCAUGAGGCAGUUUGGACGAUAUUGCCUUAACAACCAACCCAGUAUUACACAGGAACGUGUUUUUGGCACUGUUAGUGGACAGGUACUGACCCACUGCAGCAAGAGCUGACAUUGCGGUUAUAGUUGCCUCGCCACCUUCUCAAGGUGGCGGUUCCACCAUUUUUUCCAUAGCUCGCUGAAAAGUUGAGGUUUUACAUUAGUAGUACCAGAACAGAAGAUAUUAUGGAGGCAGCAAAACCAAACAAAAUAGCUUUGGCUAUAUACAUAACUUAUUCUGGUGAACCCAUGUAAAAUAUUAGUUGUAUUUUAUUGCAAAGUACAUAAUAAAACCAGGUUCCAAACAUAUGACCAUGUACCAUCGCUAAUGUAUUGUCUAUUUCUUCACAUUAUAUUGAGGGCUAAGGAUAAAGAGACGAAGUUUAUAAUACGGUAAGCAUAGUAUGACAUCAUUCAUAUCACAAAACAACUGAGAACAGACAAACAUGCAAUUGUAACGUUGUGUGGGCAAGUCCAGCACGGAACUAGAUUACGGGUCAAGAUCAAAGGAACAUCACUCCUCUCUUUUAAACCUUGUAAGGUGCAAUGAUACGCUAAGACAAUUGUGUAUAAAAUUGAAAAGAGUAAUAGACAUUGGUUGCAAACCAUGCAGUUCAACGCACAAGUCAGAGUAAGUAGUAGUUAAAAGGCAUGAAGAUUAAGGACUUACAACAGCGGCUUUGACUGGUGUAGUCAUGCCCUUCUUCUUGCUGGUGUGACAGUCCUUGAAGAUUUCCACAACAUUUGGUUCAGGUACUUUUUGGUCCUUGCGGGCUUUCCUCUGCAUUUCGAACAAGUCAAUAUAGAUCUGAUAAUAUGGUACAACGAAAAGAGUGAAACAGCAGCUAAUUACAAGAGCCUCGCAGUGUGCAAUAUAGCUAUGAGAUCCUGUCGUCUGUUGGAAUUUCACUUUCGUAUGGUUGGCCUUGUUCUUUGAACAAUUCACCUACAAGAAGAUAGAUUUGUGUGGCACAUGCGUAAAUAUGACCUCAACAUGUGAUCUGAUCACAUAUAUAUAAUGUACCUGAUACUUCGGAUCAGACCAGUGUUUAACAAGGCCCCUCCAGUCUUCAUCCGAUAUAUUUUCCACUGGAGAUGUUUGGGAAAGUUCACUAUUAGCCUUGCCUUCAAAGUGAGUUUUCCUCAAGUUAUACCGAUAUUGUCGCAGACCAGACUUGAAAACAUGGGUGCAAGCUUGUCUGGUUGCAUCAUCUUGGCUAUCCGACUUGAACCUCAUCUGUUGAAAAUUACGGGAGUCUCAUUAUCAGCAACCUAGAAAGUAUGGGACAGAGCAAGACGAUAUUACUAGUUUCCAUACAUAACCAUACUUACAGAUAAAUGGUCGAGGAAGGUGUUGAACUAGGUUUCGUCUUUGUCAUUCAUGUACUGAAUCCAUGUUGGGAGGAUACGUACAUGACACCUAACGGCAACCGCUGUCUCUGAUACUAACUUGGCUGACUCUGUAGCAUCAUGUGGCCUCUUUAAACCUGCCUCAAAACGGAUCUCCAUUCUUCCUCCUCUAGAUUUAGUUAACCUAUCGAGCAUUAUCCCUGAUGUUUGUUUCCUCUGGUGCCUAGGUGCUAGUCGAAAAACGAACAUAGGAAGUGUUACUGUACAUCAAACUGUGAGACUACAUACAAAGAAGCAUGCAACUGUAACUGGACUCCAGCAACUACCUUCUUGCUGUUGAAGCUCACAAGGUUCAUCUGAUAUUGCCAACUCGUCUUGUGUCAAGAGUGCUUGGGAAGUAGUGUCAGGUGGCAAGGGAGCCUGGGAACGUGCUGCUAGCUCAGUUGACGCAGGAGUAAGUCGUGCAGCUGGUAGUAUUGUGGUAGGUGUUGCAAGAACUAGGGCCGUCUCUGCUUGUUUGCUGGCAGCUAUUUGUUUCUGUUUGGCUUUUUUUGCAACUCGUGUAGCAUGGGAUGCCGUGUUUGUAGAAUUUUCUGCUGGACUUUGACCUUCUAUUACACCAUCAGUACCAGCAGAAUCUGCAGGAUUCAUUCGCUUCUCAUUCCCUGCCAUUUUGUGUUUCUUCCGCUUCUCAUCCGCUUCUCAAGCCGACAAGAAAAACGAAUAACAAUUUAGUUCUUCAGAACAAAUUGAUGCGUGAUGCAGAAGAACUGAACUUUGAUGUUAGACAACCACAUGAUAGGAGGAUGUAAUAUGUAUGAAAAACAGGACGGAAGAGAUAACCAGAACUAUGAUGUGUAAACUAAGAAGAAGAAAUUUCACCAAAUUAGAAGCAAUGCAAUGGAAGGUAGACACCAUAUGAAAGAUGCUACAAAUAUCGCUCUGCCAAGUUAACAGUGUCUCAUCAUAAAUGGCGUUUAAACAAAUGUGAAGCAGUACAAGAAAUAAAUCAUAUGCAAGAUGCAAACAACAUCACACUACCAUGUUAGAGGUCUCUCGUCAUUAGUGCCAUUGCAUAUUCACAGCUUAUGAUGUGUAAACUAAGGAGAAGGCAUUUCAACAAAUUAGAAGCAAUGAAAGCUAGACACCAUAUGAAAGAUGCAAUGAAUAUCACUCUGCCAAGUUAAAAUUGUCUCGUCAGAAGUGCCAUUUCAACAAAUUAGUAGUACAAGCUAGAAAAGAAUGUGAGAUGUAACCUAUAUCACACUCCGAAGUCAAACGUGUCUUAGGAUAAGUGAUUGUUGCAGGUUACACAACAGUAGUAAUUUGAUGUAAGAACAUGGUGUGAUAGACAUAUAUUGUAUGUUCUAGAAACAGGAACACGUGUCUUAUUCAAAUAUAAUGUGUAAAGUAAGCAGAUGGAAUUCAACAAAAUUAGAAGCAAUACAAGCUAGACAUCACACAUAACAUGCAACCACAUAUAAUAGUGCCAAGUUAGAGGGAGCACCGGUGAUGCUGCACUAGGGGAGACGUGCUCAUCAUAAACACAACUUUGUUGAGUGUCUAUGCAUGUGUUGUCUUGGAAAUCAUCUUGGGGCUGUGGAGGAGUAGAAACUGUAGAGGCCCUCCGUUCGGAAGGAGCACCUUUAUCCGCUGCCUUGCUAACUUCCUUCCGCUUUAUUGAUUUUGAAUUGUCAAGUAAAACCGACAAGAAAAAGCAAUAAAAUUCUCUCUUCAGAACUCAUUCAUGCAUGAUACUGACAAGCACUACUUUGAUGUAAGGCAAACACAUGAUACCAGGAUUGAAUAUGUACGAAAAACAGGACGACAUGGCAUGUUCACAACUGUUUGUGUAAACUAAGCAGAAACGAUUCCAGCAAAUAAGAAGCAAUGCAAGCUAGACACCACAUGAAAGAUGCAACCAAUAUGACUCUGCCAAGUUAAAAGCAUCCCAUCAUAAAUGGAAUUUCAACAAAUUAGAAGCAGCACAUGCUAUAAAUCAUAUGAAAGAUGCAACUAAUAUCGCAUUGCAUAUACUAAAGGUGUCUCGUCAUGUUGAUUGACGCGGGAUACAAAAAACAAUAGUUUUAUGUAAGGACAUGCUUAAUAGACAGAUGUACUAUGUACUAAAUACAGGAAGGCAUGUCACAUUAACAGGUAUAAUGUAUAAGCUAAGCAGACUAGCACAUGCAGUUUAACCAGAUUGGAAGAAUUACAAUCUAGACACCAUAUGCAACAUGCAACCACAUAUCACGCUGCCAAGUUAGAGCAAGCACCUGCGAUGCUAGUGUAGGGGAAAUGCUGUAAUCAACUACAGAGCUACGUUCACUAUCUUCAUCUAGCAUUUCUGUUUCUUGAGAAUCAUGUCGGGAGGCUGACGCUGCAUUCUUUAAAUGAGUAGUAGUCCCCUUGCCUGCCUGCCUCGUCAUAAGUGAUUGAUGAGGGAUACACAAGAACAUUAGUUUGAUGUAAGAACAUGGUUAAUACACAGAUGUACUAGUAUGUACCAAAAACAGAAAGGCAUGUCAUAUUCAAAGGUAUAAUGUGUAAGCUAAGUAGAUGCAAUUUAACCAAAUUGGAAGCAAUACAAGCUAGACAUCCGGCUGGAGUGGUGAGCAUGAUCAUCUAGGACCUGAGAGCCUGGUGGGAGGCGGGCUGCUUCGCCACCAUCGCAGCUUUUUAGUUGGCUUCCAGGUGAUGCCUAUCUUUGCUGGGCUUGUCACUGGCUCGGUCAGUGCCCUCACUAGCUAUUUGUCUUAUGGUGCUCAUGGGAUGGUGGUUCAUGUAAAAAAAAUAUUUCCUUAUCUUACCGACUUCGGCCUUUCGAAUACAAGCUAGGCACCAUAUGGAACAUGCAACCACAUAUGACACCGCGAAGUUAAAGCAAGCACCUGGGAUGGUGGUUCAUUGCGAGCGAGGUCAUCAACUCCAGAGCUACGUUUACCGUCUCGAUCUGCUGACACUGCACCCUUUAUAGCGCUGUAACGUGUCUUGCCUACCCGCAUACGAAGCUGGAGCGACUUCUCUCUUUUCUUUUUGGCUUCUCUCAUGGCAGCAGAGUCUGAAAUACCCUUGCAUAAAAACACAAUAGUGAGAGUAAGGGUGAAGUGUGUGCAGAACUAGUGCACUGUAAAAGUAGAAGAUAGCAGGUGGCUGAAAAAUAAAUGAGAGGAGACAUAUGAUAGCUCUACAACAUUGCAUGGCAAACAAAAUUAGAUUCUACUCCGUAUGAUUUUGUAAUAUAUGAGCACAGGAAAUGCAGGUACUCCUCCAGCACACCACCACAUGUGGUCAUAUCUAAGAUAACAGUCGACUGAAAAUAAAUAGGUCAGUCGAUUUUUUAAUGAACCGUCCGAUCUAUAAGGAACGGGCAGAUGGCCUUCGUCUACCUCCCGCCAGUCACUGUUGACGAUCUUUCUCGAACCGCCAGCGACCAUCGGCCCAGACCCCUACCUCUGCCGCCCCGCCCUCCCAUCGACCUCACACCACCGCCGUGCUUGGCAGCGCCCCCAGGCCAUCCCUUUAAUCCCGGCCGACCUCCAGAUCGGGCGCCAGUAGCUCUAGGCCGCACACGCCCCUAAGAUAAACACCAAGGCGCUGCUUCCCCGGCGUAAUAGGCGUACUAGCGUCUGUUACGCCGGGGAAUGCUUCCGUUAAUUGGGAAUCAACUGGCCAGAAAUUGAAAUUCAGGGGGGGCGACAGACCUCUAGCUAAGGUGAAAUAGUAUAUGAGGAGAAACCUUGUGCAUCGCGAGUUACUAGGAACAUCUAGUAUCAAGAAGAAGCGGUCAACCAGUGUCUUCUGUGGGAUGAAUACCGUGCAAGCAGAGACGUAAGAUUUGCACGAAUAAGGGAAGAGGAGUACCUUUUUCGGUUGCCGGUGUGGUCACCUCCACAUGUCGCGCCGAUCUUCUUCUUUUUACCGGGGAAACCGACGUUCUGGAGGGUGCAGGCUUGGACGAACCCAUGGCCAAAUUGUUGACUGUGUUGCCGUGGCCGUAUGUCGGCAGAGGGGAAGCAGAUCCGAGGCGGCGAAGGACGGGGUAGCAGGAACAGCUCCGGUGUGGUGGAGGGUGGCGAAGUUGGAGCGGCAGCGGUGAGGCGCAGGACGGCGUGGUUGAACUGGCUCGGGUACGGACGGCUCGGCCUCGGCUUCAACUACUAGCCGUGGAGGGCAUUGCGGUUGAGGUUGCGGUGGAUGACGACGUCGGGGUAUCGGCUCCGGCGUGAUGGAGGAGGGCGGCGGUUGAUGGGUGGGAUGGGGUGGCGGACGGAGGAUGCCGGGGUUUCGCGGCUGGUGGAGAGGUAGUUUUGGCGCCCACGGAGUACGAAUGGGGAAUCGGACGGGUGGGGGGGAACCAUGUUUCGGUCUGGGGCGUGCUUGUUUUUGGCUUUGUUUGAACAGAAGAUGGGACGCGCUUGUUUGAAAUUUGGGGAAAGUACAAACUUUGCCCCCCUCUUAAAUUUCGGAUCUACUGCGGUGUCACAUCCUAGCUAGUUCAUGCAUUAGAGUGUUGCAACAUGUUCCUUUUUCCAGAAACUUGAAAUGGGGAAGCCAGAAACCCUAGCACCCCCCUGUUUACAACUAGGGUUUACUAAAAAAAAUUUCAAUGAACCUGAAAUGCCCUUCUAAAAUGCUCAUCAUCUCUGCCUUGGUCUUAAACCACUGCCAAAAGUGAUGCACAAAUUUCUAGGACAUCUUAAUGUCACUGGAUUAAUCCAUUAGCUAUUUGAUUUUGGGCAUUUAAAUAAUAUAAAAUAUUUCUAGUGCUCAAAUAAUUCCAAACUGAAAUGUUCCAUGCCAUAUAAAUUCUAAACAGUGGCCAUGUGCAUUUUGGUGAUUUUAGGAGAUGCCCAAGUAUUUUUAGUAAUGCAACAAACUUACAGAAAAAUAGAAAAACAAUUUAAAUAAGACAAGAGAGAGAGAGAGAGAAAGGCUAGAGGCCACUUACCUGGCGCCCACCCGUGGCCCAGCAGAGGCCCAGCCCACCCGGCCGUGCCAGUCAUCCCCCACCUCUGCCAGUAGGCAGAGGAGGGACACCGUGACGCCGCCGCGCGCGCCACGGCGUCACCUGCUUGCCGCCCGCGCCUCUGGAGGAUCUGGACGACGCCCACGUCGCCCGCUCGACCGCCCCGACACCUCAUUCCCCCCUGCUUCUCUCUCUCGCCCUCUCCUCGCCAUGGCCGAAGCAGCCGUCGCCGUCCCGCCGAUGUAGUCGCCCCCACCGUGCUCCCCUCGCCUCCCCGACGUGUCCACGAGCAUCGCCACGCUGCCCACGUUCCCUCCGUCGACUCACACCUCGCCGGAUGCCCUGCUCCAUCGUCACGGCGUCGUCUUCAACCUCUCGGUCGCCGAUAUCGCCGGCGACCUUCCGUCGUCACCAGCCCCUCCCCGAGCUCGACGAGGCCACCGCUGCACUCACGGUGAGCCUCUCCAUCUAACCCCGCUCUCCGUUUCCUCCCCGGUACGCCGUAGACGCCGCUCCGCGGACGUGCGAACGCGCCACCGCCGAGCUCGUCGCCGGCACCACUCCGGCCACUCCCCGGCCGCGCCACCCCCAAGGUAGGAUGCGGACGAGCGUCCGCAUCCCGUAGCUGUGCUCCGCGUGCCAAACGGCGCCCCGUAGGGCAAACCCGUGGCUCGCCGCCGCAUCUGGCCUCGCCGGCGGCUAAACGCCGGCGAGUUGACCCCGUUUGACCCAGGCUGACCCCCUCCCCUAAGUCAAUGACAAGUGGGGCCCGCCUGCUAAUUAACCUGGAUUAACUUUUAAUUAAUUCUAAAUUAGUUAGUUAACUAACAGUGACACUGACGUGUGGACCCCACACGUCAGGUUUGACCUGGACGACCCCGCUGACCAGCUGACGUCACCCUGACGCAAUGCUGACGCAUUAAUUUAAGUACUGGAAUUAUUUUUAUACAGGAAAUUCCAGAAAAUACCACAAACUUCAAAAAAUCAUAGAAAAUAAUCUAUAGCUCAGAAUGAAAAGAUUUAUAUAUGAAAAAUGAUCAGAAAAAUCCAAUCUAUCCAUCUGUACCGGUUUCAUGCAUGUUAGCGCAACCUAACCUUGCUGUUUAGAUGGAACGAGAUAAUGCACUUGUAUGACUCUAUAAAAUGGGUUUGCAUUUGAAUCUUUGGUUCAAAUGGACUCAUCUCACUCUGUUCUAGCUUCCAUUAGCCCGAAACACAUUCAUAUUGCCAUCUCAUGCUCAUGCAUCAUAUUGUGCAUUGCAUUGAUUGUAUUUCUUCUCUGUUGCCGGUAUUUGUCCCCUCUCGGUAGGCGUAUUCCGACGAUGAGUUCGAUGACACCGAUGAAGAGCUAUAUUAUCUUCAGAAGUGCCAGGCAAGCAAAACCCCCUUGUUCAUUCCGAUACAAUCCCACUCUCUCGCUCCUGCCCUCUUUUACUGCAUUAGGACAACAACGAUUCAGCUAUUACAUGCUGCGGUAGUUGAACCCCUUUCCUCUGCAUGACCUGUCAUUGCCACAGUAAAUAUAUGAAACCCACUAGCAUGAGUAGGAAUUGUUUGAGCCCUGAUGUGCCUACUCAUUCAUGCUUGUUUGUCAUGCCUGCUACUGCUUAGAGUUGAGUCAGGUCUGAUUCAUCAGGGAUGAAUUGGAAUGUGGUGAACAUGUCCUACUGUGUGAGAGCUAAGUGUGUGAACACGAUUUGGUGAAGGGUAGCGGUGAGAGGCCAUGUAGGAGUACAUGGUGGGUUGUCUCAUUGCAGCCGUCCUCAGGAACUUAGUUCUGUGUUUGUGAUCCAUGAACAGUUACUACCACACAUUGGGUUCCGGUAACUCGACCCCUCUCGACUUAUUAAUCAACAUGAUCUCUGUCCAGGAGUUGCAACUAGUUUCUGGUGUUUGUAGGUAGUGCUAGUAGUCUACUAAGUGGCACCCGGUACAGGUGGGCUUGGGACAGACUACGAACAGUGGCCCGGUGUACCAAGUGGCACCCGGAUGGUGGGCUUGGGAACCGUGCACACAUCGUUUGGGGCCAUGAGCGACACCCCGGCCGGAUCUCCUUGCGGAUGUAACCCGAAUAGGUUGAAGGUUGAAGGUUGAAGGUUGAAGGUUGAAGGUUGCCGAGAUACACGAUGUGUACAUGGUGGUAAGUGGCAAGAGCGUGUGUGGAGAAGUACACCCCUGCAGGGUUAACAUCAUCUAUUCGAAUAGCCGUGUCCGCGGUAAAGGACUUCUGGGUUGCCUGUACAGUUCAUAGACAAGUGAAAGUGGAUACUCUAAAACGCGCAAGAUAAGCGUGAGUGCUAUGGAUGGCGUUCUCGUAGGAAGACGGGAGCGGAUCCAUAGUGGUGUAUUGAUAUGGUGAAUAUGUGGACUCGUGUGCGCCACCUCAAAAGAGUUACUUGCAGUUGUAGUUUAGGAUAGCCACCGAGUCAAAGCUGGCUUGCUGUAGUUAAACUCCACCACCCCCUUUUGAUACUGAUGCAUAUGUAGAUAGUUCUGAUGUAAGUCUUGCUGGGUACAAUUGUACUGACGUUUCCCUAUUUUAUGUUUUGCAGAGAGACGUCAGUCUCGCUAGUAGUUCCGUGUGGACUUCGACGUUUAGCUUGAUACCUCAGCUACGGUCUUGUGCCCUCGGCAGGAUCUAGUAGAUAGUCAGGCUUCUCAGCCUUUUCCACUUGUAGAUGUCUGUACUCAGACAUGUUAAGCUUCCGCAUGUGCUUUGACUUGUAUGCUCUGAAUGUUGGGUCAUGAGACCCAUGUUUGUAAUAUCUCGCUCCUCGGAGCCUAAUGAAUAAGUACUUGAGUCGUAGAGUUAUGUUGUGAUGCCAUGUUGUAUUUACACAUAUCGAGCAUAUUGUAUGAAUGAUUGCAAUGCUUGGUAUGUGUGGGAUCCGACAACCUAGUUGUUUAUCCUUGGUAGCCUCUCUUAUGGGGAAAUGUAGUCUUGUGCUUCCAUGAGCCAUAGUAGUCCGCUACAGCCCGGUUCACCUGAGUCCUGCUAGCCCAACACUACUGCUCCGGAACACUUGACUGGCCGGCAUGUGAUUCACCUCGUUCCUGUGUCUGUCCCUUCGUGGAAAUGUCACGCGGUGACAUCCAGAGUCCUGCCUUGCCUGCUACAGCCCGGUUCACCAGAGUCCUGUUAGCCUAGUGCUACAGCCUGGAUUCGCACGCUGCUGACCGACAUGCUCGAUGUUGAUUCAUGUAUGCCUAUUCCCGUAAGUUAGUGCUACUUUGGGUUCACGACUAGUUAUGUUGGCCCGGGUUCUCUGUGAUAUGGAUGCUAGCGACACUAUCAUAUACGUGAGCCAAAAGGCGCAAACAGUCCCGGGCCAUGGUAAGGCGACACCCGUGGGAAUACCGUGCGUGAGGCCGCAAAGUGAUAUGAGGUGUUACCGGCUAGAUCGAUGUGACUUCGAAUCGGGGUCCUGACAUGCGGGUCGGGGUAGGAUGGUAAUCCCAGGUGUCCCAAAUAGUGGGCGGGAGCGAUUUCGGCCGCGCGCAUGUGUGCUUAGGCGGGCUUUGUGUAUGAAUGUUUUUCGGAUGCGGUUGCGUGGCAUCCAGAUGAAGCUACAAACCUACACCGGUUUAGACCUUUGGACGUCGGGCCGGUAGGUUUCACGGGUCGGAGUUAUUAGAAAAGUAAUUUCCUUGUACUACCAAACAUUGGUCUCACGCGGUUUCGGGCGAGUAGAGGCUCUUUUGGCGCUUCGUUCGAAAUUUUGAAACACAAGCAUUCACGUUUAGAGUACUCUUGAACUAUAAGGAUUAACCUAAAUAGACAACGUUAUAUUUGACCUUGUAUGUUUGAAAACCUCAUUAAAUUAUCCACUUCUUUUUGAAAUUUUGACACUUGAAAAUCCUAUAACUACGAUUAUUUUGGAAUGGAGGAGCUAAAUUUGAAUCUAUUUUGUACAUGACUACAUAUGCUAUUAUGUACAAAAUCAGAGCAAAGAUUGGUGCCCCAUAAUUUAGGUAUCGUUUACAAAUGCCAUGAUAUCAAAUUCAAAUAAUUGAAUGGACUUCAUGUUGAAUUCGAUUUUUUUAAACCACCUUAAGUUGAAUUCAAAUGUAUGCUAGUUCAUAGGUAGCUAUUUAUAAUGUCCAUUGUGUAACUUUCGUAUGUAUAAUGUGCUUUACACACACAACAUGAACUAUACUCACGUUUAUAUUCGAUUGCUAAAGCGAUGCAUUGUCUAGAGUCCAAAAUACUAACUAUGUGGAUCAAUUGUGUCGAAUAAUAACAUAGACAUGCUCAAAUUCGAUAGAAUCUAGAUGUCUGAUGGAUCAGUGACCACUCCUUACGCGAAUUGCAAAUAUCAUGAUCCCAUCCUAAUAUUUGGAUACAAUUUAUAUCUUUAAUCAAUGUGUAGAGCAGUCUUUUACGUGUAGUUUCACUCUCCAUCGGUGGUCUCUCACACAUGCUCACACACUCUCUCCCAAGGUGUCUUUCUCGCACACAUGCUCUAGAUAUAACCCUCCCUCCCUCUCGUAACCAUUUACAACUGUUUUCACUAACCUUUAUCAUAAGCACUCUUCCUCUCGCAAACAUACACACGCACAAUCCUCAUCGACCCUUUCUAUAUACAUGGACCUGCCUACGUGUCUCAUGUACGCACAUUAUCUUUACGCCUGUCUCUCACGCAUUGUCUCACACCUCUCUUUCUAAUCGACGAUUAUGAUUCUAGCAGAGCAUUCUGUAAGAUGCCCCUUAAAGUUAGGUUGGAUGAAUAGUAAUAUCAGAGAUAAAGGGGUUACCUUAGUCCGAGAACCUAGGGUUACAAAUCCUAGCCGGCUUUGUCAGUGGACACAGAGUCCUUCACAAUUCUGCUAUCUUUGUCUUGUACGACUAGUCAUCCAUGGGUCUUCCUAAAUGUGUCACGGGCCGACCAAUGUGGCGCAGGACGGAACCGAACGAAGGGCCUCACCUCGACCCACCGGACCUCACGCGGUGACACACCCUCUGCCCCCACGUCUCAUUAUCUUCUCACACCCACACAUACCAACACAAACACCACACACACAGAAAAUUUCUCCUGGUGCCUCUAUUCCCUCGCCCCUUGCAUAUACACACUCAAGGGAAUGGAAUCUCUUGUUGUGACGUCAUAUUCAUCUCUCUCUCUAGACCACUCUCAUNNNNNNNNNNNNNNNNNNNNNNNNNNNNNNNNNNNNNNNNNNNNNNNNNNNNNNNNNNNNNNNNNNNNNNNNNNNNNNNNNNNNNNNNNNNNNNNNNNNNNNNNNNNNNNNNNNNNNNNNNNNNNNNNNNNNNNNNNNNNNNNNNNNNNNNNNNNNNNNNNNNNNNNNNNNNNNNNNNNNNNNNNNNNNNNNNNNNNNNNNNNNNNNNNNNNNNNNNNNNNNNNNNNNNNNNNNNNNNNNNNNNNNNNNNNNNNNNNNNNNNNNNNNNNNNNNNNNNNNNNUCUCUCGAAUAUGUAAUACACACACAUACCUUUCUAGGCCCCGCCAAAUGCAUCAACUACACAUUCACACAUGUUACAUCACGUACCCCAUUGAUCUAAAAAGCCCUCUCUUCACGUUUAUUUCGCAUACAGCAUUCCUUUUGAAUAAAGUGUGGCCAAAAAAUUAUUUUAGAGUUUCUACAUAUAUAUACAACAUUACAAAGUUAUAUGGAGGAGUACGAACGCUAAUUUGCAUUGCAUGGUGCCCACAAUGAUAUUUAUUCCGCACUGUAAAUUUGUAUAUUUUUAUGCUAUAUACAAAGUUAGUCAUAAUAAAGAGAAACGAAGAGCAUCUCUCUCUCCAUCGCAUACCCCCCGCCCCCCCUGUACGCCCCUUUCACGUAUGCACACAAAACUAUCUCCAGGUCCUCUAAAAGUAAGCCCCCAGAAAAUUCACGCAUGUUUCAUCUUUCUCUCACGAUGUAUGCAAUGACAAUAAUUGUAUUUGAAGCGAAAGCACGAUACGUACAUUGGACUUCAGAAUCCACUCAUUACGGUCGCCAUUUACGUUUAGUGGUUAUUAUACAGUCACGGGCUCACCGUACAACUCUGUAUUUGCUCAUGACAUGACUAGUUGACCAGUUAAACGCUCCACGUGGCACCUCUAGUGUUGCAUCACAUUAUCUCACUACCAUCGUGCCCACCUGUCGACUUGUAUUUACUCUACAUCUACACUCUUAUAAAAUACAUAAAAUACACUCUUAUAAAAAACAGAGUUGGUGAUGAUGGUGUGCCUGCCAUCAUGCAAUCUAGGCCGUCCGAUUUAUACCUGACGGAUAGGAAAGAAACUAUGGCAAUUUUGCAGAAAGGUACCCACACACCUCUCCACAUUUGCAAAUAAGGCCUUCCCUCGUUCAUCCUUUUCUCUCACAAGAUAAACAAGUCAUACAAAUACAUCUUGAUGUUACGUGCAACGCACGGGCAUCUUGCUAGUAAGAAUGAAAACAAACGACAAAAUAUAUUUAUACGGUGGUUCGAAGUCAUGAUCGCGGGCACAGCGGACAAGGUGGCCUUGUAUUGGUAUGCUGAGCCGUCUAUUUUAACACACAAGAGCUGGUGUUGUGAUUAUACACACACGCACGCAUGCACACAAACUGCAUCCACGCAACACUCACACAAACACAUGCACCCACGCACGCACACAACACUCACACGUACACACGCAGCCACGCACGCAUGCAACACUCACACGCACGCACGCAACACUCACACGCACACACGCACGCAUGCAUGCACACACCAGUACACCACACGACCAACACACACUCUCACGCUCAAGUGCUCAACCUACACGUGCAUGCGCACAAAUCAGGCCUUGACAGACACAUACACAACGAGGUGAUUCCCGCGCACGGGUUGGAGCCUUGUCGCGCCUGCGUAAAUUUGUGUUUAUAUGACCUUUUUCCUAUGCGAACUGACAGGUGGGACCCACAAGGAACGUGGUCAAUUUAACUAGUCAACAUGGCGCAGACUAUUUGGCCAAUCAACAGUGCAAUCCGAUGCUGAACUGUGAGCAAGUGACCGUAUAAUCACCGCAAAUCGUAUAUAGUGACCGUAAUCAGCUUAUUCUGAAGUUCGGUGACCGUAUAGUAUUACGCUUUUCUCUCUGUAGGCCCUCCAAAAUUACAUCUCUACACGUUCUCGCACGUUACAUCUAACAACUAUGCAAUACAGCACUACUACUACUACACUCUAACAUAAUAAAUCAUAUGUGUUUUUAGUUUUACUAGAUAUCAUAUUGUUAGUUAUAAUUAUUCAGUUUGCAUACAUUAAAAUUGCCUUUGAAAUGUAUGGCCAGUAUCAUCUACCGCGUGGGAAAAAUCCCGCCCUUUCCUGUUUAAUCGGGUUUGUAUCGAUGGAUCAUGCGAAACAGCAAAACUAUAGUACUAUAUAGUACAAGUGACAGUUCACUAGGCCGUCGUGUCGUCUACUCCUCCGUCGUAAGAGUGGAGCGCUCGCUUUCAUAAAUCUUCUAGUCCCUUUCGCCGACAUGUGGGACAUCAAGCUACCGGGUCCACGCGCCAUACCGGAAUACAGUGCAGAGCAGCCGGGGUGAAGCACCCCAGUCAUGGCGCCGGUGUAGUAAUGAGCAAUGAGGCGUCAAAUCACAAAGCUGCACCUUUCCCGCAGUUAAGUUGGAGGGACGAAGCAACCAUCAUUUCACUCAUUGCUGAAUCCGCUUCUCCCUCAUCUUCUUCAACUUAACCACGUGUUGCUUCUGCCGUUGUUCUGCCUCAUGUGGGACGCGGAUUGGCUUGGUAAAGCACUGACACGUGGGACCGCAUGUUAGCAAACCACCAGGACAACGUCCUCCGAAAAUAAGAAGCCUAAUCCUAGACUUACAAAGGGCUACGUAGCUGCUACGUAUACUUUCCAUCUAAUCUAUAUAUGCCCCCCUGAUUUUCAGGUGGGGUGGGCCUUAUCCUCUCCUUUAAUCCAAUCAAAUAGUCCCACAUCACAUCAGUUUGUAACUUUAUGUAAACCAUUACGUGGAUGUAGCAUUGCUCAAAUAAGAAAUCUCCCCCGCCAUCCGCGCGGCAAAAUCACCUCCUUUUUACUAAUCUUGAUUCUAUAAUUUUUUAGAUCAAUAUAAUUGAGAUUUGUAUAGAUAGCACACAGGAGCAAAACCAAGUGGUACGGUUAAGGGCAUCCACAAUGUGUAGCCAAAUGUGAAAAUAGCUUUUGGCAUCGUGGGAACCAUUGUGGACGGUGUUGCCAAAGCCAAAAAGAUGGAACCGAAGCUCCCUGAUUGAUUGAUUGAAGGAAUAGAAAAAUGCAAUGUCUCUCCUCUUUCUCCCAUGCUUGGGCGCAUGUAGUACAGUAUAGAGCACAGAGUCUACUCCCCUGUCCCUUCUAUCACAAAUCACAAAGCAGUGAGGCAUCAAAUCACAAAAGCACGGACGAAGCAACCAUCAUUUCACUCUUUGCUGACUCCGCUUCUCCAUAGUAUUCUUCGAGAAACCAUCUCACCGCACUAGUACUCCUAGUAGUACUAGUAAACGACUUCCUGGAUGCAAAUAAGGUGGUUGUCUCGGCUUGCAGGCGGCACUUGCGAAUGACUUACCGUGGUCUCCCUCAAUGGCAUUCUCUGUCGAACGCACUUCGCCAAACCACCAAAAAAGAUAUCGUCGACGUCACCGCAAUGGGGAAGGAAGUCAAAUAUAGUUACUACCUCCAUUUUUUGUACACAAGGCCAGUAUAUCAAAAUUACAAUUUGCAAAGGGUCACUAACACUAAUUGAGGCAAAAUUGAUGGGGUUAGCAACCAAGGACAUUAAUAUCCCCUGCAUGCAUGCGGACGUGAGAAGGUUGGUUUGCAUGGCGCUGCAUUAAUCAAGCGAUGAGGAGUGAGAUGGUUAGCUCUUUGGUCUUUGGAGAAAAAAAUACGCAUUAAUUGACACGUGAAACGAGGAUUUGUAUCAAUUAAAUCCCGCGAAGGAAAACCCCGCCUUUCUUUUUUAACACUAGUACUCCUAGUACGUACGUACUUAUCCUGUUUGGGUCUAGGCCUUGCAUUGCCAAACUUCGCCACACAUUUUUGCCAAGCUUGCCUAAAAUUUUCAAAAUCAGAUGCAGGUACACUUGCGCACGGCUGUCGUGGUCGCACCGCACCCUCACACGGUCGCUCCUGCACGCCGCGGUCGCACCGCACCCUCACACAGUCGCUCCUGCACGCCGCAAACCCAAACAAGGGAACGCACCCUGAAUGACACGUGUUGUCGCAUGUGAACAAACCAAACUCAGCCAUCCUAUCGCUGACACAUAAUUUUCGUUCAUAGAGUAUGUUUAUCCAACCGCAUGUUGGGGAGUAUCCGUACGGCCCGUGCGGUGGUCUGUUGGGGAAGAAGAAGAGGUGAGGAAGAAGGAAAGAAGGGUUAGGAGACGUAGGAUAUUCAUCCAACCGCCCGAAAUGGUAGACUGACCCAAGUCAGGCGACUUGCAUAACAAAUAUAUGUUUUUACACAACAAAAGAUCCAUAAAACAACAACAUAAAGAAAAACUAUCACUGCUCGCGGAAAGAGACGGCCUCAUCGUCUUUGGCUGCCGGCAUGAACCAGCCGUCGCUGCCGACGUGUGUCUCCACACCGUGGUUGUCCUCGGCCUCCAGCUACUCGUUCAAGCGGAGCGUGCGAGCGCUCUGCACGGACGAGAGCACAGUCCGGUUCAAGUCGAGGACGUCCAGUUCCACCUGCAGGAGGGCCUCGAUGGCAGCGGCAUCCGCGCGCUCUGCGUCGAGUCGAGCCUCCGCCGCCCGGUUCAAGUCCAGGACGUCCGGUUCCGCCUACAGGAGGGCGUCGAUGAGAGCGGCAUCCGCGCACUCUGCGUCGAGUCGAGCCUCUGUCGCCCGGUUCAAGUCUAGGACGUCCGGUUUCGCCUGCAGGAGGGCCUCGAUGGCAGCGGCAUCCGCGCGCUCCGCCUCAAGUUGAGCCUCCGCCGCCCGGUUCACAUCCACGACAUCCGGUUCUGCCUACAGGAGAGCCUCGAUGGCAGCGGCAUGCGCGCGCUCUGCAUCGAGUUGAGCCUCUGCCUCCCGGUCCUCCUUUAGUAUCGCCAUGUUGAACCGCUGGUCCGCCUGCACCAUGGGGGACUCGGACGCCGGCACGAAGUCGACGUCCAUCGUCUCAUACCCAUCGUGGGCCUUCUGCACCGCGACCUCCGCCAUGAACAUUGGAUCGGCUUCCUCGUCCUCGUAGCUUGGCCUCCAGAGAACUCGGGGAUUGGCCCGCCGCAAAGCGAACUUGGGAACGGAUGUCUGUGGCACCGACCACCGCCGCGAUUUCUGCGCGGCGCUCCGGCGUCAGCAUCUUGUAGUAAGUGAUCUUGCGGCGCACCAUGGCUUUCCGGCGAACUAGGGGACGCUUGAUGCGGGCUAGGGGAUUGAAAGGUGCAGGAAUGGGCUGGAGAUUUGGUGUGGUUUUAGGGCAGUGGCUGGCGUAGGCCGAGCGGCGAAGGUUCUGGUGUGAAUAGUGGUUCCGGUGACAACCCGUCAAUCGGUUUCGACUGUACAUCGCUCUUGUCGCGUUCGCGUUGCAGCCCGGCACACUGGACCAUCCACGUCGCUCACCGAAUGGAACGCGCUUCGUCUUGCGUUUUCGCUCGCUUGUGGGACCGCAGUUGAGAGAAAACCGACGUCCCUCCCCUCCCCCGCCCGCGUCAUUUAUUAUACCACCACUCCCUCCGUUUUAUGCGGAGUAAAAAAAACAAAGGGAGUAUACAACGGAUGAGGAUCCCUGACGUGGCCGAACCCAUUGAGUAACUAGCAUGCGGGGACUAGCAAGCAUGGGGUCCGCCAGUAAGUGACCGAAAGGGAGGGUAAGGCAGGGAUACCUACGUCAGAGGUUCCACUUCCACUAUACUACUUUGACCAAAUGUUAGAGUAAUAAUACAUGCCAUGCAACUACACAAAUGUUAGAGUAAUAAUAUAUGACAUGCAACUUACACAAAGCAUACAGGGUCUAAUGCGUUUUUCGAGGCUAAAUUUGACCAAAUGUUGGAGUAAUAAUAUAUGACAUGCAACUUACACAACGCAUACGGUCAAAUUCGUAUGUGAAAGGAGUUUCCAAUGAUAUAACUUUCACAUUAUACAUCUCAUGUACUAUUAAUCUUGUCAAUAGUCAAAUUGGAAACCAUCUCGAGAACAAAUCUAGGAGUACGUACGAAUCUAACAAUAUUGAUUGGGCGUUGUUGAAUGUUGAUACCUUUUUGAUCAAAGUAGAGAUACUUUGACUACACAUAAAAGUUAUAUGUAAACAAGAAAGGAUAGGGGAGUAUAUUGUACGUUCAAAAACGAAACGAACAUUGAAUACCCUUUAUAUAUGAUUUGCGGAUGCUAUGAUCACCGGUUCAAAAUUUUGAAUCCGCCUUAGGUAUCACGUGCACCACUCGUUCCCUCUCGAUUUCAUCUCGGGGUCCGGAGAUCUAUUGAAAGAGGACUAGGGUGGGUACAUGCGAAUGAUACUCGGCGGAAAGUUCAAAUGAGGCAUGUGGGAGGAUGGACUCGACUGGAGGGCGACAUGAUCGAUGGAGAAGUGUAACAUCCCAAAUUUCCAAUUUGGUAUGUUAUACAUCGAUCAUCAUUGCAUAUCAUGUUUUAUUGCAUUUUGACAAAUCCUCGAUAAAUCCUAAGCAACUCAAGGACCCUCGGAGAGAGUUGGGAUUUUCUCGAAUUUUCAUAUUUGAUUUUUCAAACGAGGAUUGGGAUUUUAAUUAUUUUUCUCUCCGGAAAAAUAUUUCAUUCUUAAAAUAAACGAGAGGAGAAAAUAUGACUUCUCCAAAAUAUUGAAAUACUGGAGGAAAAAUGUUAAAAUCAUUAUUUGAAUUUAUUUGGAUUUUAUUUGUAAUUUUUAUUGCAUUUAAAAAUAUGCAUAUUUUUUUCAAAAUAUUUAUUUUUGAUUUUAAAAAUGUUCACCCUAUUCUAGAUUUUCUAACAAGACGGGGAAAAUUUAUUUCAUAUUUUUCUGAUUUUUAUUUAUUGUUUUACGCAAUUUUCUUCGCGGAGCUUAUUUAAAAAAAACGCCCGCGCGCCGACUGGGCCAAAGGCCCAGCCGACGGCCCACCUCGCCGCCCGUCGUCUCCGUCNNNNNNNNNNNNNNNNNNNNNNNNNNNNNNNNNNNNNNNNNNNNNNNNNNNNNNNNNNNNNNNNNNNNNNNNNNNNNNNNNNNNNNNNNNNNNNNNNNNNNNNNNNNNNNNNNNNNNNNNNNNNNNNNNNNNNNNNNNNNNNNNNNNNNNNNNNNNNNNNNNNNNNNNNNNNNNNNNNNNNNNNNNNNNNNNNNNNNNNNNNNNNNNNNNNNNNNNNNNNNNNNNNNNNNNNNNNNNNNNNNNNNNNNNNNNNNNNNNNNNNNNNNNNNNNNNNNNNNNNNNNNNNNNNNNNNNNNNNNNNNNNNNNNNNNNNNNNNNNNNNNNNNNNNNNNNNNNNNNNNNNNNNNNNNNNNNNNNNNNNNNNNNNNNNNNNNNNNNNNNNGUUUUCUUAUUUUACGAGCGUUCACCGAACCGUUCGUUUUAACGAACGCGUUCGUCGGUUUUUCUCUGUUAACGAACGUCCGUUCUUUAACCGUUCGUCCGUUUUUCUUUUUCGGCGGAUUUUCUCGUUAUUUUCUCAGAUUCGAUUUCUGAUCGAAUCUUCGUUUCUGUUUAACUUCUCGCUCGUUUAUCGGAAUCAGGUGAUUCAAGCGCCUAGAGUUUCGUCUCGAAAUUCUCUUUCCAUUUAACCUACUCAAACAAGUUUUUGCUACAGUAAAAUUUGACCUAGAUCCAGAUUAGCAAACGAAGCUUCUUUCUUUCGCCGUUUGACUUUCGUUGCUUCUUUCGAGUUGAUUCUUUUUGCAAACCGGAGUUCUUAAGUUGAACUUUCUGGUUGGAUCUUUCAUUCGGGUUUUACCUGUGCAUUAGUUGAGUACUGAUUGUAUGCUUGUUUGUUUGCGAUAGAGUACCCGGAGUGUGCCGCUUGUUACUUCGAAUCGCUAGGUUUUGCGGAUCAUGAGCAAGGCAAGUAACACUUUGAUCAUACCCAGUUCAUACCCAGUUUUUAUUGCAUUAGAUCUAUUCUCUCAAACACAUUGCAUGAUUAGGAUCUAAUAAACUGUGGGUAUUGGGAAGUAGUUGAGGUAGUACCUAUUACCUGUUUUCUAUCAAACCCUUGGGAGUUACUUCUACGUUGCUUUUAUUACUGCCAUGCUAUGCUCGUAGACGUGGAUUGGGUUUGAGUGAAAUUCAUGACAGAUGUGAGAUUGUUAAUUAAUGGUUUACUUAAGGUGGCAACUUAAACUCACAUCUGGGUGGAUUGAGGUACCUGGGUAUUCCAGGAUUGCCUGUUUUUCUUUUGGACCGCCACCCAGGUUCAAAGGGAUCAUGAGAUUUUUCAUGCUAGAAACUUCCGUGUGCAGCCGCAAGCUAUUAUGGGCUCUAGCAUAGUUGACUAAGUUGUGUGAACUCUUACAGUGGUAGACUAGCAGAUGUAGGGGAAAGUAGGUGUACCAGUCUACCCAUACGUAAGGUGCAAACACUUCUGAAAGACUGUGUCUUGGUCAUCCGUUACUCAAACACCAUGUAGUGCGAGUAAUCCAAUGGAGGAGAUCAAGUCUUGUGGGAAAAGUGCACAAACCUCUGCAGAGUGUACAAACUGAUCAUGAUUAGCCGUGUCCCCGGUUAUGGACAACUUGAGUAUCUAGUACUUGGAUUAUCAUGUGAAUCUCAACACUAUGUUACUUCUAAUUAAUUUUGUUGGGUUAUUGAUGACUUUUUAAUUGGGAUUGAGAUGCUGUCAACCAUCUCAAUGUUUCACAACCACCAUGAUAGUUAAAUAAAAUUUAUUCCUUUUGAAGUAGGAUAAAAUUGGCUUUUCGCAAAAAUGUAACCAUAGAGCUUUCCACCAGCCAUAUAUGCAUGUAGUAUAGCAUUAUUAUUAUUCAUUGCUCUCUAUGUGUUACAUUGCCAGCAUAUUCUAUGUGCUGACCCGUUUUCGGGCUGCAACGUUUCAUGUUGCAGACUUUUCAGACGACGAGUAAGGUGCCUUAGGUCGUGGUCUUAUACUCAGUGAUACCGCUGGAGUUGAUGGACUCACUUAUCUUCCAAGUCUUCCGCUGUUAUCGUUAUUAGAUGGCCUUAAGCCAUGGUUAUCAUACUUAGCCUCUUUGGAGAUAUUCGAUGUAAUAAGUGUGUGAUUGCUACUCUGUUAUAAAUCCUCCAUUUGUACUGUGCGUGUCAGCAUUACUGAUCCAGGGAUGACACUGGUGCACAGAAGCACAGGCCAUUUGAGGUCUGGUCGCUACAGAGUUGGUAUCAGAGGACACGCUGACUAUAGGACACGACCACUAAGCUUAAGCCCUAGAAAGCUUCUCUGUUCUCAUUUCUGACUCCUCUCCACUUUCUACUCUUUAGGAAUGGCGAAUGCAAGGAGCAAGUUCAUGCAACCAGAUGAAGACACGCCGUUUGGACGACAUUUGAAGGAAGUCACCAAGUACUUGAAUAUAGGAAUACCAAGCGUCACCGGAACCUACAACGCCACAUUUCCUGAAGAGGAGAGCUGGAAGAUUCAAGUUAUCAUUCCAGGAAGGACAUUUGCGCCAAUUACGGAACCCAUAAGAUUGGUUUUCGAAGCACCAACUUGGAGUUUAGGGAAGAGCAUGGCCGCACAUAUCGCCAUGGGACGCAUUGGAGAAGUCUACCACCAGGAGCUUAAGGAUACGAUUUAUCAAAUUUGUGGACGUCGAGACGCGCAAUGGGAGAUGAUCAAGACCAAGAAGGAUGGAUCAAUUGCAGCUUUCAUCCAGGAGCAGAACCAACAUAUUCGUCGCCAGGAGAACCAGAUGUGCACGGACAAGGAAGAACUAAAGAAGGCAUUUACGAAGAUCAAGGAACUCCAAGAAGAACUCAAGACUACACGCGAAGAUUAUCUGGAGGAAAUCAACGCACUUGUCAGGAAGAUUGACGACCUGGAGAAGAAGAUUGGAGCAUCCGGGGGAAAUCCAGUACCAGAAGCAGAAGUCGACGAAUGCACUUGUCCGGAUAACUACAUCAUCAUCGACGACACCGACUCGGAACCAAGUGAAGACGAAUGGAUUGAUGAAGCUGGAGCAGACAUCAUGGAGUCUUCAACGGAUCAAAAUUUCUAGUAGACCACCAUACCAGUAGUAGUUUUACCUCCAUUCAGUAGUAUAGUUCAAGCACUUUGUAAUGCUAGUUAGAUCGAUUGUUUUGCCUUGUUUGGAUUGAUUGAGUGAUAUUGAUUGAAUUUGUCUCAUGAGCAUAUGGGUAGUGUUUUCUCUCUAGACCUCAUUCUAUUCUUAAUUCUCAUCUUUUCUAAACCCAUCAGAUGCCUCCGAGACGUGACACCGGAUUUGUUUUCCCGCCAGAGAUCACCCAGUUGAUUCAGCAACAGAAUGCCCUGAUGCAAGUGUUAGUUCAGAACCAAGGCAACAACAACAACAACAACAACCCACCGCCACCACCACCUGUUGAUCACUUAGCCCGUUUCCUAAGGUUAAACCCGCCGGUGUUUUCCAGUAGCACCGAGCCGAUUGUUGCGGAUGAUUGGCUCCGCAAAAUUGGAAGGGAGUUGACCACUGCAGGAUGCACAAAUGCGGAAAGAGUGCGUUUUGCCGCACAUCAGCUUGAUGGACCCGCAGCAUCAUGGUGGGAGAAUUAUACAGCCACGCACCCUAUUGACACUGUCACAUGGGACCAGUUUCAGCAAGCUUUCCGUACAGCUCAUGUUUCAGCAGGAGCUAUGGCUAUGAAGAAGCGUGAGUUUCGUAACCUACGCCAAGGAGGACGCACCGUAGGCCAGUAUGUGGAGGAUUUCAGUAAGUUAGCACGUUAUGCAGCAGAUGGCGUUGCUACGGACGCAGCCAAGCAGGAAAAGUUUCUGGAAGGACUGAAUGACAAGCUGAGUAUGCAGUUGAUGGUAGCAACCUUAACCAACUACCAGGAGCUGGUAGAUAGAGCUCUCAUGAUUGAAGGGAAGCAACAGCAGAUUGAAAACCGUAAGAGGAAGUAUGGACAAGGGAAGUAUAACUCAGGAGCCCAGCAGAAGCCCCGUUUUACCCCGAAGCCGGGAGGACAGUUUCAGCAUACCCAUGGAGGAGGUAGUUCGCACAACCAUAAUGGCUCUAAAAAUGGAAAUGGGAAUGGAGGAAGCAACGGACAGAACCGCACCAACCCAUCUACCCCAGCCAAGAGAGACCUGAGCCAAGUUACUUGUUUUAAGUGCCAGAAGAAUGGACAUUAUGCCAACGAAUGUCCCGAAGCCCAAAAUGGAAAUGGCAAUGGAAGCUCUGGGAAGAAGCCGAACCCGUUCAACAAAGGACAUGUGAACCACGUGAGCGUGGAGGAGGUUGAAGCUCAGCCUGAUGCAGUAAUAGGUAAGUUUUUGGUUAAGUCAUUUACUGCAACUGUUCUUUUCGAUACUGGUGCAUCGCAUUCAUACAUAUCAAGGGGAUUCGUGAAUAAGUUUAAGAUGUCCACCAAAGUUCUCAAAAACCCUAUGUUAGUAACCUCGCCAGGAGCAGAGUAUAUGGCCACCCAAGGAUGUUUUCAGAUACCAUUGGCCAUUGGUAGGCAUGUUUUCCCCUCAGACCUCAUUGUUUUGGAAUCGCAAGGUUUGGAUGUGAUUCUGGGAAUGGAUUGGCUAUCGUUGUACGGAGGAAACAUCGAUUGUGCCAGCAAGACUAUUUUGCUUACCACCCCAGAAGGAAAAAGGAUCAAGUAUGUAUCCAGGCAUAUGCCGAAGAGGAGUCAAGUGAAUUCCCUAUCAGGAGUUGUACAGGAGGAAGUACCAGUGGUGAAGGACUAUCCGGAUGUAUUUCCAGAAGAGUUGCCAGGCAUGCCACCGGAUAGAGACAUUGAGUUCUUGAUUGAACUUUUGCCAGGCACCGGGCCAAUAUCUAAGAGACCGUACAGGAUGCCCGCUAAGGAUUUGGAGGAAAUUAAGAAGCAAAUCAAGGAGUUACUGGAUAAAGGCUAUAUUCGCCCAAGUUCGUCACCUUGGGGAUCACCAGUACUUCUAGUGGAGAAGAAAGAUGGAUCACUAAGGAUGGUUGUUGAUUACCGAGGAUUGAAUGAAGUGACCAUCAAAAACAAGUACCCACUGCCAAUGAUAAAUGAUUUGUUUGACCGCCUGCAAGGAGCUAAAGUAUUUUCCAAGAUCGAUCUACGAUCAGGAUACCAUCAGUUAAAGAUUCGAGAGCAGGAUAUACCCAAGACGGCAUUUACCACCAGAUAUGGAUUGUAUGAGUAUACCGUUAUGUCAUUUGGACUGACUAACGCACCUGCCUAUUUCAUGAACCUGAUGAACAAAGUAUUUAUGGAGUUUUUGGAUAAGUUCGUCAUGGUAUUCAUUGAUGAUAUUCUAGUCUUUUCCAAGGAUGAGGAAGAGCAUUAGGAGCCUUUGCGAUUGGUACUUGAGAAGCUCAGAGAACAUCAGUUAUAUGCCAAGUUCAGCAAAUGUGAAUUUUGGUUGAAGGAAGUUGGAUUUCUUGGACAUGUUAUUUCUGGAGAAGGAAUAGCAGUAGACCCUGCCAAGGUUGACACAGUGACAAGUUGGGAAUCACCCACGACAGUUGGAGAAAUCCGGAGUUUUCUUGGACUUGCAGGAUACUACCGGAGAUUCAUCGAGAAUUUCUCGAAGAUUGCUAAGCCCAUGACUGAGCUAUUGAAGAAGGACACCACAUUCAAUUGGACUGAGGAAUGUGAAGCUAGUUUCCAAGAGUUGAAGAAACAAUUGGUUACCUCACCAGUGUUGAUUCUGCCAGAUCAACGCAAGGACUAUGAAGUUUAUUGCGACGCUUCUCGUCGAGGACUUGGAGCAGUGCUUAUGCAGGAAGGAAGAGUUGUUUCGUAUGCUUCACGACAACUUAAACCCCAUGAGAAGAAUUAUGCUACACAUGAUUUGGAAUUAGCAGCCGUGGUGCAUGCAUUGAAGACAUGGAGACAUUUUCUCAUCGGAAACCAUUGUGAGGUGUAUACGGAUCACAAGAGUUUGAAGUAUAUUUUCACGCAGAAGGAGUUAAAUCUCAGACAGAGGAGAUGGUUGGAGCUCAUCAAGGAUUAUGAUAUGAGAUUGCAUUAUCACCCUGGAAAGGCUAACGUAGUAGCAGAUGCGUUAAGCCGCAAGAGUCAUGUCAACACCCUCAUGACAGGAGAGUUACCUCAGGAGUUAGCCGAGGAUCUACGCGAGCUAUGUUUGGAGAUAGUCCCGAGAGGCUAUUUAGCGACAUUGGAGAUUCAGUCUACCUUGAUGGAAAGGAUCAGAGAAGCUCAGAAGUCAGACAAGGAGAUUAAAGAGAUAAAAGAGAAGAUGAGCAAAGGAAAAGCCAAGGGAUUUCGUGAGGAUGAAGACGAUACUUUAUGGUUUGAGGACCGCGUAUAUGUGCCAAAUGAUCCGGAGAUCAGAAAGUUGAUUUUGCAAGAAGCCCAUGAUUCACCAUACUCGAUUCACCCAGGGAAUACCAAGAUGUAUUUGGAUUUGAAGAAUACUUUCUGGUGGACAGGAAUGAAGAAGGAUAUUGCGGAGUAUGUAGCAGUUUGUGAUGUAUGUCAGAGAGUGAAGGCAGAGCAUCAGAAGCCAGCAGGAUUGCUACAACCAUUGCCGAUACCCGAAUGGAACUGGGAUAAAAUAGGCAUGGAUUUUAUCACAGGAUUACCCAGGACCCGUUCCGGCUAUGACUCAAUAUGGGUUGUAGUUGAUCGAUUGACGAAAGUAGCUCAUUUUAUUCCAGUGAAGACCACUUACACCAGUGCUAAGUUGGCAAAGAUAUACAUGACCAGGAUAGUAUGUUUGCAUGGAGUUCCGAGGACUAUUGUAGCAGACAGAGGAACCCAAUUUACCUCGAAGUUUUGGAAGCAGCUACAUGAAACAUUGGGAACCAGGCUGGAAUUUAGUACAGCAUUUCACCCACAGACAGAUGGACAGACCGAGAGAGUCAACCAGAUUUUGGAAGACAUGUUGAGAGCAUGUGCACUAGAUUAUGGAUCUAGUUGGGACGACAAUUUGCCAUAUGCGGAGUUUUCAUAUAAUAACAGUUAUCAAACCAGUUUGAAGAUGGCCCCUUUCGAAGCUUUGUACGGAAGGAGGUGUAGAACACAGUUGUUAUGGGACGAAGUUGGAGACCGUCAGUUGUUUGGACCAGAUUUGAUUAAGGAGUCUGAACAGAAAGUAAGGUUGAUUCGCGAUAGGCUCAAGGUAGCCCAGUCCAGGCAGAAGAGUUAUGCUGAUUCUAAACGAAAAGAGACAGUUCACGAAGUCGGAGACCGAGUGUAUCUUCGAGUAUCACCCCUUCGAGGAGUGAAGCACUUUGGAGUUAAGGGAAAGUUAGCGCCCCAUUUUAUCGGACCAUACAGAGUGUUGGAACGUAUGCGAGAAGUUGCUUACAAGCUGGAAUUGCCCGAAGGAUUGUCUGAAGUUCAUGAUGUAUUUCAUGUUUCGCAGUUGAAGAAGUGCCACGCAGAGAUGGCUGAGAUACCACUGAGAGAUACUGUGCCACUGGAAGCGAUUCAGUUGGAAAGUGAUUUGACUUAUGAGGAGAAACCAGUUAAGAUUCUCGAGUAUGCCAGCCGAGUUACCCGCAGCAAGGUUAUCAAGUUUUGCAAAGUUCAGUGGAGCCACCACACGGAAGAUGAGGCCACCUGGGAGCGAGAGGAAGAUCUACGGAAAAACCAGUCCCACCUGUUUUCUAGCCAACCCGAAUCUCGAGGGCGAGAUUCAUCUUAAGGGGGGUAGGUUUGUAACAUCCCAAAUUUCCAAUUUGGUAUGUUAUACAUCGAUCAUCAUUGCAUAUCAUGUUUUAUUGCAUUUUGACAAAUCCUCGAUAAAUCCUAAGCAACUCAAGGACCCUCGGAGAGAGUUGGGGAUUUUCUCGAAUUUUCAUAUUUGAUUUUUCAAACGAGGAUUGGGAUUUUAAUUAUUUUUCUCUCCGGAAAAAUAUUUCAUUCUUAAAAUAAACGAGAGGAGAAAAUAUGACUUCUCCAAAAUAUUGAAAUACUGGAGGAAAAAUGUUAAAAUCAUUAUUUGAAUUUAUUUGGAUUUUAUUUGUAAUUUUUAUUGCAUUUAAAAAUAUGCAUAUUUUUUCUUAAAAUAUUUAUUUUUGAUUUUAAAAAUGUUCACCCUAUUCUAGAUUUUCUAACUAGACGGGGAAAAUUUAUUUCAUAUUUUUCCGAUUUUUAUUUAUUUUUCUACGCAAUUCUCUUCGCGGAACUUAUUUAAAAAAAAAUAUGCCCGCGCGCCGACUGGGCCAAAGGCCCAGCCGACGGCCCACCUCGCCGCCCGUCGUCUCCGUCCCGGAGACGGUCGCCGCCGGAGUCCGCCCCGGCUACGCCGCCGCCCGGCUUGGCCCCUCCUCCAAGCACCCCCUCCCCCCCUCAUAUAUAGCCCCCCCUCGCCUCCUCCCCCGAACGCCGCCGCCCGCCGCACCCGCCGCCGUACGCCGCCGCCCGCUGCCGCACGCGCCGCGCNNNNNNNNNNNNNNNNNNNNNNNNNNNNNNNNNNNNNNNNNNNNNNNNNNNNNNNNNNNNNNNNNNNNNNNNNNNNNNNNNNNNNNNNNNNNNNNNNNNNNNNNNNNNNNNNNNNNNNNNNNNNNNNNNNNNNNNNNNNNNNNNNNNNNNNNNNNNNNNNNNNNNNNNNNNNNNNNNNNNNNNNNNNNNNNNNNNNNNNNNNNNNNNNNNNNNNNNNNNNNNNNNNNNNNNNNNNNNNNNNNNNNNNNNNNNNNNNNNNNNNNNNNNNNNNNNNNNNNNNNNNNNNNNNNNNNNNNNNNNNNNNNNNNNNNNNNNNNNNNNNNNNNNNNNNNNNNNGUUUUCUUAUUUUACGAGCGUUCACCGAACCGUUCGUUUUAACGAACGCGUUCGUCGGUUUUUCUCUGUUAACGAACGUCCGUUCUUUAACCGUUCGUCCGUUUUUCUUUUUCGGCGGAUUUUCUCGUUAUUUUCUCAGAUUCGAUUUCUGAUCGAAUCUUCGUUUCUGUUUAACUUCUCGCUCGUUUAUCGGAAUCAGGUGAUUCAAGCGCCUAGAGUUUCGUCUCGAAAUUCUCUUUCCAUUUAACCUACUCAAACAAGUUUUUGCUACAGUAAAAUUUGACCUAGAUUCAGAUUAGCAAACGAAGCUUCUUUCUUUCGCCGUUUGACUUUCGUUGCUUCUUUCGAGUUGAUUCUUUUUGCAAACCGGAGUUCUUAAGUUAAACUUUCUGGUUUGAUCUUUCAUUCGAGUUUUACCUGUGCAUUAGUUGAGUACUGAUUGUAUGCUUGUUUGUUUGCGAUAGAGUACCCGGAGUGUGCCGCUUGUUACUUCGAAUCGCUAGGUUUUGCGGAUCAUGAGCAAGGCAAGUAACACUUUGAUCAUACCCCGUUCAUACCCAGUUUUUAUUGCAUUAGAUCUAUUCUCUCAAACACAUUGCAUGAUUAGGAUCUAAUAAACUGUGGGUAUUGGGAAGUAGUUGAGGUAGUACCUAUUACCUGUUUUCUAUCAAACCCUUGGGAGUUACUUCUACGUUGCUUUUAUUACUGCCAUGCUAUGCUCGUAGACGUGGAUUGGGUUUGAGUGAAAUUCAUGACAGAUGUGAGAUUGUUAAUUAAUGGUUUACUUAAGGUGGCAACUUAAACUCACAUCUGGGUGGAUUGAGGUACCUGGGUAUUCCAGGAUUGCCUGUUUUUCUUUUGGACCGCCACCCAGGUUCAAAGGGAUCAUGAGAUUUUUCAUGCUAGAAACUUCCGUGUGCAGCCGCAAGCUAUUAUGGGCUCUAGCAUAGUUGACUAAGUUGUGUGAACUCUUACAGUGGUAGACUAGCAGAUGUAGGGGAAAGUAGGUGUACCAGUCUACCCAUACGUAAGGUGCAAACACUUCUGAAAGACUGUGUCUUGGUCAUCCGUUACUCAAACACCAUGUAGUGCGAGUAAUCCAACGGAGGAGAUCAAGUCUUGUGGGAAAGUGCACAAACCUCUGCAGAGUGUACAAACUGAUCAUGAUUAGCCGUGUCCCCGGUUUUGGACAACUUGAGUAUCUAGUACUUGGAUUAUCAUGUGAAUCUCAACACUAUGUUACUUCUAAUUAAUUUUGUUGGGUUAUUGAUGACUUUUUAAUUGGGAUUGAGAUGCUGUCAACCAUCUCAAUGUUUCACAACCACCAUGAUAGUUAAAUAAAAUUUAUUCCUUUUGAAGUAGGAUAAAAUUGGCUUUUCGCAAAAAUGUAACCAUAGAGCUUUCCACCAGCCAUAUAUGCAUGUAGUAUAGCAUUAUUAUUAUUCAUUGCUCUCUAUGUGUUACAUUGCCAGCAUAUUCUAUGUGCUGACCCGUUUUCGGGCUGCAACGUUUCAUGUUGCAGACUUUUCAGACGACGAGUAAGGUGCCUUAGGUCGUGGUCUUAUACUCAGUGAUGCCGCUGGAGUUGAUGGACUCACUUAUCUUCCAAGUCUUCCGCUGUUAUCGUUAUUAGAUGGCCUUAAGCCAUGGUUAUCAUACUUAGUCUCUUUGGAGAUAUUCGAUGUAAUAAGUGUGUGAUUGCUACUCUGUUAUAAAUCCUCCAUUUGUACUGUGCGUGUCAGCAUUACUGAUCCAGGGAUGACACUGGUGCACAGAAGCACAGGCCAUUUGAGGUCUGGUCGCUACAAGAAGAGGGUUGGAGAUGAAUGAGAAAUAAGAAAAUGCCACAUGAUUAUACUUGAACGGCUCAAAUAAACAAUAAGUUGUCUCGCUUGGCCUACAUAGUGAAAGGCGUAAUGCGCAACGCGGAGCACUGACGCUCGAAUAUGGCCGGGAAAACAGGGAAACCGACAUGUGGGGCACACCCGUCGGGACGACGUAGCGCAGAAUAGUCCAAUGGAGGAGCUGGCCCACGACCUCCUCGCCACUGACAACCGUUCAUGUGGGUCGUUGGGGCCAACAACGGGGCGCAGCUCCAGCACCGCGUCUGGACACGGCGACCGCGGUGAGCGACACGCUCAUAUCGUCGCUAGACACGGUCGGUUUCAGUGUGCCGAGGGUGGCGUUAGUGCUGUGGCACGACCAAUGGUAUGUUUGGUUUGUGCCCAAGGUUGCCCCAUCAAAGCAUUGGGUAGCCAAAAUUUUGGUUGAGGUAUUGGUUGCCCAUGAUUUCGCCGACAUUGGCAAGAAAAAUGAACAAGUGUUGGCUAGAGUUCAUUGGCAUGCCAAAGAAAUGGCAACCAUCCAAACAAAGACCAAUCUUUGGGUCAUGACCAAAAUUUUGGUUGAGGUAUUGGUUGCCCAUGAUUUGGCCGACAUUGGCAAGAAAAAUGAACUAGAGUUGGCUAGAGUUCAUUGGCAUGCCAGAAAAAUGGCAACCAUCCAAACAAAGACCAAUCUUUGGGUCAUGACCAAAAUUUUGGUAAGGUGCACUUUUGCCACAAUCCAAACACACCCCAACACCCGGCUCGUCGAGGAUGCACGGGGCGCAGCGACGCGUCCGCAGAGUGUUGUAGCGCGGCCAACUGCAUCCUCUGGACCUGAGACCAUGCCGGGUCGUCUUGCUUUUUCAAUGACAUGCGGGGAUCGCAUGUGAGCAAAGGGCAUCUCCAACGUUGUCACGACCGCAGUUGACUACCCUGGCACACCAAAACCCCCUCGCGCCGUCGCGCGGUGCGUUCCCAGCCGGUGCCAGCUGCCCGCAUUCAUGUCGUCCAUUCGUAUGUCGUCGUUAAGAGGCUCGGUGCCCGAGGAACCAACUCCAGCGACUUAAUGACGCACCCGAACGCUUGGCCUCACCGGAAUGCGCUACUUAAAGCGGCAACGCCCAGCUAACCUCCACACCAUAGCGCAUCGUCCUCCUACCUGGCACCACAUCCGCCAUGACCGCAAGUGCGAACGCUCUACGGGAGAGCUUGUCUUCGGGGAUGAAGCUCGAGGUCGCCGCCCUCGCUCAAGUCGCCUCUCGCGACGCAAUAGCGACGUAGCCGGACGCGGACGCGACCGCACAAGCGGUGGCCACGCUGGCGGCUGACGAUGGGAGCACCGUCAGCCACGCGUCCUACUUGCCGCCGUCCAACGUCCGGCACCGCCGAGGUCGGGGACUCCUCCGAGGAUGAGUAGGGCAUGGGAGGCGGCAGUGCAUGGUGUGCCAACUGGCCGGUCCGUAUCCCGUGUUCUACUCUUCCUCGCCGGAGACUGCACCUUCACUUCACAGGUCUUGAACCCCGCCCCCGUACAUAGAGAUUGCAGAUGGAGGACGUCGGUCGCCGCCAUAGAAUAGGUUUAGGGUCGGGUUUCUUUUAUUUUUCUGUGCUAUAAAAGUUCGAAAUGUAAUGAAAAUCUGUCGUGUUUGCAUUAAUCUCGGCCGGUGUAUAUGAACUUUCACAAUAAUAUACAUAUUGUAGGAGUACUAGCAAGAUGCCCGUGCGUUGCACGGAAGAUCAAGAUCUUGUGGGAGAAAAGGAUGAACGAGGGAAAGCCUUAUCUGAAAAUGUGGAGAGGAGUGUGGGUAAAUUGUCAUAGUUUCCUUCCUAUCCGUUAGAUAUAGAUCGGACGGCCUAUAUUGCAGGAUGACAGGCACACCAUCAUCACCAACUCUGCUUUUUAUUGAACCGAGACAAAUCUAACAUGCGAAGUAAAAUAAACACAUAGGGUCUAUACAUACAAAAAUUAUCUUAGGCAAUCCAAUUGUACGUCCACUACACAUUCACGCAUUUCACAUCUUCUUACAUCUACGGGAACCUAUGAAAGGGUUAACGUAAAUUGCCUCUCUCUCUCCGCCCCUGAUUUUCAUGGUGGUGGGCCCCUCCCUCCCCCAAUCUACAAUCAACAGCUCACAUGUUUCACAUUAUGUUAAUUACGUAACUGGGAUUACGUAGGUGUAGCAUUACUCGUCCUAAAAGACCCAACUAAGCCAACUUCCCAGCAUAUCGCGCGGGAGAAGACCCGGCCGCGCCGUUUUAGUCGGGAUUACCGGAUUACUAGUAGUAGUAUCGAUGGAUCGCGCGAAGCAACAAAUUUUUUUUUUGAGGGGGCGAAGCACCUAGUUUAAAAGGAAAAAAGGUGGUACACUCACAGCACUCCUGUCGCGGUCGCAUUGCACCCCACACAUGUUUGGUCCUGCACACGGCUCACGCAAAUGAAACGCGCUUCGGCUUGCCUCUUCACUGACACGUGGGACUGCACUUGGAGAAACCGACCAUGCGCCAAACUCCCCCCGCCCACCGCGCGAAAAUCCCCCGCCCCACAUCCAAAAAUUCCCCCGAAAUCCGAUUCAACCGCCCUUCGGCCAACUAGCCAAUAAUAUUCCCCAAACCCCCCUCCCCCCUGUCCCCCUCCACUCCAUUCGCUCCGCCAAAGCCGCCCUCCGCGCCGCGCCGAUACGUCGGCGCCGCGGUUCGGCGAUCCUCUCGCUCCCACAGUACGCUCUCGUAGCCUGCCGUCCUCUAGCCGCGCCGCCACCUCUGGCUGCGUUCUUGUGGAGGCGCACGGCGGUCAGCGCUGCCACCGCUGGCAACGUUCGUCUGGAGACGCACAGCGGUCAGCUUCUCCCAUGGUACGCGCAUUCUAGACUGAGGCCCCGUUCAUGUCGGUGUAGCGCUGAAUGUUAGCUGAUAGACGCUGUUAAUCUCACUGUUUGCCGAAGUAGUUUACUGUCAAUAUGCUCUGCUUAAGAAGCUUCCUUGCCCUGUUCUGCACUCAAUCUGCUUAGCUGAGAUGGCAUGCCAAGGCCGAUUAAUUGCUAAAAUAUCCUGCCAUAUAUUUAUUGUGACGUAGAUUGCCAUGGUCUAGUAGCCAAUCUGUUUGGUGAAAUAGCUCUACACCGUUUUAUACUCGAUCUUUGUUGCUGCGAUGGCCUUGGAUAGUUUGAUGGCUGUGUGCUCGGCCUCAUUGACUGCUGAAACAGCCUGCCACAAUUUGGCACUCAAAUCUGUUUGCUGAAUUAGCUUUGCAUAUAUUUCGUUACUUAGAUCUGCUCGUCCAAAUAUCUUGCCAUAGCUUUAGACAUCGACCUAGGUAUUUUUUUUCUGGACUUCAUAAAAAAGCAUAUAUGUUUUUCCUGUAAUAUCUAGUAGAAGAACUAAUUUGUAUGUCUAACAGAUGGACAGGACUUGGAUAACUUCUGCUCGAAGAUUCUCCGUUGCAUAUGUCGAGGGGGUUGAAAACUUCAAGGACUUUAUUAGAGCUGAGUACGGUGGUCCGAAAUCAGAUGUGCUCUGCCCGUGCAGCAGUUGUAUGAAUUCAGUUACAAGACCCCAGUCAACUGUGCAAAAUCAUCUACACUUGUAUGGGAUGUCGGUCACAUAUACUAGGUGGGUUCAUCAUGGUGAAGCUGUGAACAUCAGUGUUAUUGACUACGUGGAAGCAGCAGAUCACCAUCUUGAUCUGCCUGAUGCUCAGGUGGAAGAGGAGGAGGAGGUGGUGGUGGCGGAGCCAGUUAGUUUGACCAACAUUGAAACAAUGCUACGAAAUGCUCAUGCAUUCCGUGAACUUUCACCUGCAGAAGAAAAACGGUGGGCCCGCAUGUUGGAACAAUGCAAUGUUGCUGUCACCCCAGGAAAUAAGCUGUCAGUAUUCUCAGCUAUGGUCACCUUUCUUCAGGUGAAGACAACUGAGCGGAUGACCAACAAAUCAUUCGAUGCGAUGUUGGCUGCUUUCCGCGAAUCUUUCCCAGAUGCGUCUGAGCUGCCACACACCUACAGUAAAAUGAAGAAUUUCCUUCAUGCAGUUGGAAUUGGAUAUGAUAUGAUCCAUGUUUGUAAGAAUAAUUGUGUUCUGUUCCGGAAGGAUUAUGCCAACUUAAGUGAAUGCCCGAAAUGCAAAUCAUCAAGAUGGAAAGAUGGCGAUGUUGUGAAGAGGAUUCCUCAUAAUGUUUUGAGACAUUUUCCAAUUACACAAAGAUUGCAGAGGUUGUUUCAUGAUGCUGAAACAAGAGAGGAUGUAUUGUGGCAUUCUAGGAACUAGGAGUACAGAGAUCAGAAUGUAAUGAGCCAUCCAUCUCAUGGUAGUGAGUGGAAAAGCUUCAAUGAUAAACACAACGAGUUUGCUGCUGACCCGAGAAACAUUAGACUCGGCUUAGCUUCAGAUGGAUUUAACCCAUUUGGCCACCAGAGCGCCACAUAUAGCAUGUGGCCAGUGCUUGUUAUCCCUUACAACAUGCCUCCAAAUGUCUGCACCAAAGAAUCAAACUACAUGAUGGCCUUGCUCAUCCCAGGUCCAAAAAGUCCUGGAAAGGAUUUUGAUUUGUUCAUGGAGCCUCUUGUGGAGGAACUUCAACAGCUAUGGAAGGGUGUUGUCACUCGAGACCUAUAUAGCAGCCCACCAGCUGAUUUCUUUCUGCGUGCUAUUAUAAUUUGGUGCAUCCAUGAUUAUCCGGCUUUGGGCACUAUGUCAGGGCGAACGACACAUGGUUACAAUGCAGGUGUUCGCUGUGACAGGAAUUCGCUGUCAUACGCAAUACUUAGCAAGAUAUGUUACAUUGGACACUGCCGUUUCCUUGCCAAGGACAAGCCGCGUCCUAGAAAAUACCGAAGACAUGUGUUCAAUGCAAAGCAUGAAAACCGUGAUGCGCCAAAGAGGCUCACCACCGAUGAGUUGCAAGUGGAAUUAGAGAAGGUCAGGCAUAUUACACCAGGAAACCAUCCUGGUAAUGGUAGCGGGAAAAGGACGCGUGGCAGGGUAGAAGAGAGAUUAUUGUUUACCCGCAGGUCCACUUUGUGGGACUUGGAGUAUUGGAAAGAUUUGGAUCUGCGUCAUAAUCUUGAUGUGAUGCACAUCAAGAAAAAUAUAUGUGAUAGCAUUAUCGGCACACUUCUUAAUAUUGAAGGCAAGACGAAAGAUACCUUAAAAUCUAGGACUGAUUUGACACACCUGGGUAUCAGAAAGGAUUUGCAGGUGCAAGAUGAAGGUAAACCACGGGAUAUGGCACCAGCUGUGUACGUCUUGGACAAGGUAAAAAGAAAAGAAUUCUGCGAGGUCCUGUCACAUGUGAGAUUCCCACAUGGAUUUGCUUCCAACCUUGAAAGGAGAGUUAGUGCACAUGGAAACAAGAUACAAGGGUUGAAAACUCAUGACUGCCACGUCCUACUUCAAAGGGUUUUACCUGUUAUCCUUAGAGGAUUGGGCUGCCCUGACUUAUACAAAGCAGUUGCAGAGUUGGGACAAUUCUUCAGGGAACUCUGCAGUAGGAAUAUCAGGAUAGAUGCUUUGGAGCGUCUUAGAGACAAGAUACCAACUAUCCUAUGCGACCUUGAGAAGAUAUAUCCUCUAGCCUUCUUUGAUGUGAUGGUGCAUUUGGUUGUUCAUUUACCUGAUGAGGCACUACUUAGAGGUCCAGUACAGUAUGGCUGGACGUACCCUAUUGAAAGGCGGCUAGGGACUUUCAAGGGCUAUGUUAGGAACAGAGCUAGACCCGAGGGUUCCAUUGCAGAGGCCUACUUUGCUACAGAAGCGUCGACAUUCUGCUCAAAAUACAUUGAAACAGCUGAUCAGCUUAGCAAAGAGGUGGGUGAAGACAAUCCCGGGCUCAAUGUUUUCGAUUAUUCUAUUCGAGUUACAGGGAAGAGUCGACAAGAGGACAAACCUAAGGAUUUGGACAAAAUGGUUUGGUAUGUGUUGAAUAACUGUCCUAAGAUACUACCUUAUAUCAAGUAAGUGCAGUACUGCAGCUUAUACAUCGUAAUAUACUAAACUUACAGCACAUUCUUAUAUAUUUAGAUGUUUGACGCGAUCACUAUGUUUUGCAGCAUCUACAAAGAGGAGUUCUGCUGCAAAAUCCAAGAAACAUUGACAAACUGGUUAUGGCAGGAUUUACGAAAUGGUUCAAGAACCAUGUAAACUUUUGAAGUGCACUGUCAGUUUUUUUAAUAUAUUGAGUACAUAAGAUGAUUAGCUUGUCUAUUUUCUAACCAUAGGUUAAGAAGAUGCGGGAGGAUGGCCAGGCAGUUGAUGAUGCCCUUUACUCACUAGCAAUGGGUCCUGAUACUCGGGUAAGACAUUAUGAAUCUUGCAUUGUUGGAGAUGUGCGCUACAACACCCUUGCACGAUACGAAGGCAGGAAGACACAAAACAGUGCCAUCAUGAGCACAGAUACGUAUGACAAAGAGAUAACUGAAAUGUAUGCUAACAUAACAGACAUUGUUCAGUUCCAGUAUAUCUCCAGUUUCGAGGAUCAUCGGUGUGUGGUUCUGUUGUGCUGUCGUUGGUAUAACCUGUUUUCCAGGAUCGCAAAACCCAGAGCUGAUGAUUAUUUCAAAUCCAAUAAUGUCAAGGCGGCGUACUAGACCAACAAGCCUUUUAUUUUGGCAAAUCAAGCAACACAGAUAUUUUUCUUGGAAGACACAUUUGCACAUAUCGAUGACUGGAGAGUAUUGCAAAGGUUUGAGCAGAGGAAUUCGUUUAAUGAAGUUGCACAACAAGAUGAUGCUUACACUGCUCCUGAUGUACAAGAUAACACAGAUGUUCCUAAUAUCUUUGAGAACCAUCACGUCAAUGACGCCGGCGAAAAGAUUGCUUAUCGUGUUGUGGACAUACAAGAGUUGAUCAAGAAGAAGCCAAUGUUCGAGGACGUUAAGGACGAAGAAGAAGAUGACACCAUGGGGAAUUACGAUUCAGACUGAUACACAUGGCGAAGAUGUUGACGCUGCUGCUGCGGAUGAUGAUUACAUUGCUUUUGUCGUAUUUGCCUGUCAGAAGACGUUUUUUUAUCUACUAUGUGAAAUUGUGUUUGCUAUGAACACUGAAACCAGAUGAACAUGUUGUUUAGUAUUUUGCUGUGAGAACAUCACUUGUUAUGUAUGCUGAUUUGUGUUUGGUGAUUGUAUGACAACUAAAACAUGAUGACAUUGUUGUUUAGUUGUACUCAUAUUUGGCUGUGAAACUUGGAUUUGAUGACAUAGUUUGCUGUUGGACUGCAAUUUGCUCGACGUCUUCGAAUGAGAACAAAGCUGACCCGACAGGGCCUCUGCUAUUUAUUUAUUUAUAUGAGCAAAAGGGGAUACCCCCUGAUUUCCGUUUAUAGAAAUCAUUAGAUGUUCACAACACUACGCCCAGCCUGCUACACAGGUUUCAUUCAUUACUAGUUUCAGCAAAGUGCUCAUGUCGUAGCCACUGAAUACAUCAUGAGUGCUACAUACACUGCAAAUAAAGAGACAAUCAUCCUACAGAGCACAUCGAUUUUGCCUAUUAUCUUCACAAGCUCUUUCAUCUCCUCAUUGCUGUCAAGGCCGUUCAGCAGCUGUUGCUUGGCCAUGAUCAGAGGAACUGCAUCUUUAACCUUCUGCUCUGCAUCUUCCUCUUCUGCCGUUCCUUCAGUUACAUGUCCAACACCCCAACCUGCUGGUAUUGGGAUUCCUCGGCUAACCAAAUAAUCAGCGUAGUUGCAUUCCCCCACAUCAGCAGCUUCCCAGAAAUACAAAUCACACGAAUCUUCCCUUUUCUGCACGAAUCAAAUUGGAAGAUCAUCAACCAAACUAUUAAAAAAUCAGCAACUGAAAGCAGCAGAACACUUAAACAUAUUAUUACCCCAUGAUUCGGGCAUUUGUAGAAGACUUGGCCAGGGUUGCGGAUUGUGGUUGAGACGCGACAGAUGACUCUGCGUGAUUUGCAGCAGUGGCACCACACCAAUGGCAACGGGUUGCGAUGAGCAAUCGGCUGUGGUGCGCGUGCCGGCGAGGGUGUGAUGAGACCCACAGGCGAUGGUACGGGUGGCGACUUGGCGCAUAUCUGGUUGUUGCCUGCUGAAAAGCAGGUGGAUGAGCAGCCAGCGGACAUGGUUUCUGCGGCCAGAGCUUCUGAUGCUAGGCAGAGUAAGUAGAGAAGAGGAGAAGCGAACGUUGGAUAUAUCGGUUUCAUUACUUGCAGAGUAGCAUAGCACCAUAUAUAGUCAUAGUCUAGGUUUGGAUACGAACCAGCUACAGGAGCACGUCUUUCUUUUUUCUAAAACUCGGCAACGUCUCUUUACUGGUACACUAGCUUGUUCUGUACGCCUUCCCAAGUCUUUGAUUUUCUUUCCCUUUUUUUUGCGAGGAAGGAAGGAGGACAAAAUUGAGAGUUCCUGGGACUCGAACCCAAGACCUCUCGGUUGAAAACCAAGGGUGCUAGUCACUUAUGUGGCGAACGUUCCCUGUGAGGAGGACGGCAGACGAACGCAUUUUCCUCGCAGUUUUUUCCUAUAUAUAAAAAAGUAUGCUACUUGGUGUCCGCUUAGUCAACAAACGAUUGUGCCAACCUUGACCGUUGGAUUGACAUUCAACGUUUGUCGCAUUUCUUCAAUCUCUUCUUCCUCGAGCCGCCAAAGCCAAACCAGCGCCAGCGGGACCGCCUGCUCCCGCCUCCCACGGCUAGCUUUGAUCUUCCCCGGCUCCUGUUCGUUCCCGUCCGAGGCCUCACCAUCGUCCUCCGCCUUGGUUCGCUCGCCGCGGCGCCACCCUCCGGUGUUGUCAACAUGGUCAACAACCGAGAGGAAUAAGGAGAUGACUGUACAUGGUGAGGAUGACAGUAGGGAACCAGCAGCGCGCACAGUAAUUUUGUUUUUUCGGGACCGAGAUGGGUAUCAACUGGGUUGUGCGGGACCCGUGGCCCAUCUAGCCCAGGCUUUUAUUUCAUAUGUUUAGCAAAUGACCAGCCUAGUUUGUUUUUUUCCUUUCUGAAAAUGGCUAGCCAGCUUUUUUUUGCAGAAUAACCAACGUAGGCCUACUUGCUUUUCUACGCCCUGCUGGGCCGGAAAUCUUUCAAGACGAGGAGGAAUGCAUUUUGCCCAAAAAAUGGGCUAUAAGUAAUAAGAAAUGGGCUAUAAGUAAUAAUAAAUGGGCUGUAAAAUGAAAAAAUACAGCAAACAAGCAAUUAGUUCCAAAAUACUGUUUCUUUCGGAUUUUGAUAUUUUAAAUUUCAUUGUUUUUGUGCGGGUAAAAUUUCAUUGAAUUUAAAUUAAGGUAUAUUUAGAUUUAAAAUUAAUUUGAAUCUGGCUAGAAAUUUCGGGCUGUAUGCUGUUUGGGACAGAUUGGGAGGCUGACUUGUGGGUCUUCUAGGUUGACGUGUACUUUGGCUUUGUCAACUUAGUCCACAAAUGAUUCUCGCAGGAGUGACCGUUGGAUGUUAAUCCAACGGCCGUGCUGCUUCUUCAAUAUCUGAUCUUCUUGCUCCAGCCGCCCAAACCAGCUCCGGUGGGACUGCCUGCUCCCGCCUCCCGUGGCCGGCUGUGAUACCGCACAGGCCGCACCGCCCCACCCUACUUCAUUGCUGGCCAGGCCAUUCCUCUACUCACCCACACCUCCUGUUAUUUUCCGGCGACGGCAGCCAGACCAGUAAACCCUCGUACUCCCCACCGCGUGGGCAACCAUUGUCGAGUCUUCCCCGGCUCCAUGUCGUUCCCUUCCUAGGCCUCGCCGUCGUCCACCGCCAUGGUGCUCUCGACGCGGCCUAGUCAACGUGGUCAACGAAUGACAUCCAUCGGCCAUGGACUGUACGCACAAAAUAAUGAUUCCUCCACCUGACAGCUGGGACCCACCGGAAGGGCCUCUGUAUUUCGCGAAAAAAACGUUCCCCCCGCUGACAUGUCGGACCCACCAGCUAUAUCUUCGCACACAAGGAAGUGCCUCCUUAUUACGCACAAAAAAAUGAAUACCCCCCUGCUAGCUGGGACCCACCAUAGUGGGAGGAUGACUUGUGGGCCAACUAAGUUGACGGGGACGGAGGACUUUGUCAACUUAGUCAAUAUGAACGAUUCUAGCUCCAGUGACCGUACGAUGUCCAUCCAACGGCCGUAGUGCUUCUUCAACCUCUGGUCUUCUUGCUCCAGCCGCCCAAAGCUGCGCCGGUCGUGCCGCAUCCUCCUGCCUCCCGUGGCCGGCUGUGCUGCCGCGGAGGCCUCACCGCCCCCUACUAUUCCCACCGCUGGCCAGGCCCUGCGGCGACGGUAGCCUCACACCGCAGCCGAACCAGUGAACCCUCGUACUCCUCUCCGCGUGGGCUUCCACUGCCGCAUCUUCCCCGGCUCCGGGUCGUCCCCUUCCUAGGCCUCGCCGUCGUCCACCGCCGUGGUGCUCUCGGUGCGGCCUGGUCAACAUGGUCAAGGAAUGACUUCCAUCGGACGUGGACUGUACGUGGAGAGGCUGACAGCUGGGUCCACGGCCGCAGCAAGGAAGUGCCUCCUUAUUACGCGGAAAAUAAUGAUUCCUCCACCUGACAGCUGGGACCCACCGGACGGGCCACAGUAUUUCACGGAAAAAGCGUCCCCCCUGACUGCUGGGACCCACCAGCUUCAUCUUUGCACGCAAGGAAGUGCGUCCGGGCAAAAAAACAAUUCGCCCCCCUGACUGCUGGGACCCACCAGCUACACCUUCGCACGCAAGGAAGUGCGUCCGGGCAAAAAAAACCGAUUCGCCCCCCUGACUGCUGGGACCCACCGGCUACAUCUUCGCACGCAAGGAAGUGCGUCCGGGCAAAAAAAAACGAUUCGCCCCCUUGACUGCUGGGACCCACCAGCUACAUCUUCGCAGGAAAGGAAGUGCCUGAUAGUCGGGACCCACCUAGUCGAAGCGUACGUAGCGUUGUCAUUCUGGUCGCGAACGUGUACGUACAUACUAGUCGAUGUAGAGGCGCGCACGUGUCGUAGUAGAGGCGCGCACGUAGCAUGUACACGUACGUACAGCGGCCAGGGUGCAAGAAAAUACGGCCACGUAUGUGUACAUACGGGCGGGUUCUCGAACGCCUACUCGCGCAUACGUACGGCCAGCGCUCGUGUACAUGGCUGGGUCGGAACGGAGAAACAGCGUCGUCGUCGUGUUCAUGGGGAGGCAACGGAAUGCGUCGUGUUCAUCGGGAGGCAACGGAACGCGUGGGAGCCAACCGGCUGGGUCGGAACGGAAUGCGUGGUCAUGUUCAUCGUGAGGGCUUGGACGGAACAGGCAAUGGAAACGAGGCCUGGCGUACCGCAAAAUGGAGGAAAAUGACCUCCUACGUUCGGAACGGGGUCCUGUUGAUCGGGAGGGGUGUGGCGUACCGCAAAACGGAUGAAACGGACCUCCUACGGUCGAAACGGGGGUCCUGUUGAUCGGAGGGGUGUGGUGUACCGCAAAACGGAGGAAACGGACCUCCUACGGUCGAAACGGGGGUCCUNNNNNNNNNNNNNNNNNNNNNNNNNNNNNNNNNNNNNNNNNNNNNNNNNNNNNNNNNNNNNNNNNNNNNNNNNNNNNNNNNNNNNNAGGCAAUGGAAAUGAGGCCUGGCGUACCGUAGAACGGAGGAAACGGCCUUGUGUUCGACCGGCCACGUUCGAAACGGGAUCCUGUUCAUCGGGAGGGGUCUGGCGUACCGCAAAACGGAUGAAACGGACCUCCUACGGUCGAAACGGGGGUCCUGUUGAUCGGGAGGGGUGUGGCGUACCGCAAAACGGACGAAACGGACCUCCUACUGUCGAAACGGGGGUCCUGUUGAUCGGGAGGGGUGUGGCGUACCGCAAAACGGACAAAACGGACCUCCUAUGGUCGAAAAGGGGGUCCUGUUCAUCGGGAGGGGUGUGGCGUACCACAAAACGGGACUCCACGGGAUACUGUUCAUCUCCACCGUCGACCUCCUCCAGCCUCCACGGGCUACCGUCGACCUCCUCCAGCCUCCACGGGCUCCUGUUCAUCCAGCCUCCACCGCACGCUACUCCACCGACUACUGUUCAACCACCCCUCCACGGGCACCCCUCCACCGUCUACUGUUCAUCCAGCCCUCCACACCACGGGGUCCUGUUCAACCACCCCUCCACGGGAACCCCUCCACCGUCUACUGUUCAUCCAGCCCUCCACACCACGGGGUCNNNNNNNNNNNNNNNNNNNNNNNNNNNNNNNNNNNNNNNNNNNNNNNNNNNNNNNNNNNNNNNNNNNNNNNNNNNNNNNNNNNNNNNNNNNNNNNNNNNNNNNNNNNNNNNNNNNNNNNNNNNNNNNNNNNNNNNNNNNNNNNNNNNNNNNNNNNNNNNNNNNNNNNNNNNNNNNNNNNNNNNNNNNNNNNNNNNNNNNNNNNNNNNNNNNNNNNNNNNNNNNNNNGUUAGCAGCAGUAGCGAAGGAAUCGCUCGAUCAGGUUCAGUUAACAGCCAUCGAUCGAUCACUCCGGUUCAGUAACGCGUAGCCUGCAGUGCAAUCGCUCGGGUUCAGUUAGAGCCCAACGCCUCACUCGGGUUCAGUUAGAGCCAACGCCUCACACACACGCGCGUACGUGUACGAGAGAAACGCGCAUCGCUCGACCCCCGACCUCCCACCGUAACCGGGAACUCCCCAAAAUUUUCCUCCCCCUCGCUUCUACCAAGGUUUUUUCCGUGAUGGACGGCCCAAAGAAUGUCAUGCAGCUGUGUCUCCGGCCCGCCCAGGACGAAAAGCCCAUUUUCUGUCAUGAUUUUUUGUCAUAGAAGUAGGAGCCCACCACAUCUAUGAUGAUACCGGGUUUUGUCACAAUUAUCAUCAUAGAAGUGUCAUAUGUAUGACAGAAAAAAAAUUCGUUCGGCCCAAAAUGCCACGGAUGUGUCUUUUUUUUGUAGUGGUGGUUUCCUUGUCCAAUCCUCACCAUUCGGAAAACACGCUGUCCGCCCUUGUGCAGCCAUUGGGAGCACCAAUGUGGUGGCUAACGGUUGUGUAUGGACCAUGCUCGGAGGAUGCGGCCAAAGUGGAAUUCAUGAGGGAAUUGGUGGAGGUCCGGGAGCUCUUGGCUGGCCCGUGGUUGUUGGUCGGCGACUUCAAUCUCCUAGUCAACCCGGAGGAUAAGAACAAUGACUCUGUUAACCGCCGCAUGAUCAGCCGUUUUCGAUCCAAACUGAAUAGGUUGGAGCUCAAGGAGAUAUAUUUGAAUGGGAAACGCUAUACGUGGUCCAACGAGAGGUCUAGGGCCACGUUGGAAAGGAUCGAUCACGUGUUGGUGACGAAUUGUUGGGAGGAUCUAUACCCUUCCAGCUUCCUAAUGGCAUUGAGUUCUGCGGUCUCGGAUCACUGACCACUCUUAGUGGCCAUGCACGCGGACUUCCAAUAUGGGAAACACUUCAUGUUUGAAGCCUUCUGGCCCAAGGCUCCAGGUUUCAUGGAAACGGUGCAGGAGGCGUGGCACUCCAUAUCAUCGGAUGGCAACCCCUAUAUGGUGUUGAACAAUAAAUUGCGGGCCACCGCAAAGAACCUCCAACGGUGGAACGACAAGUGGAUUGGCAAUAUACGUAUGCAGAUCACCAUUGCCCUGGAGUUGAUACUACGUCUUGACGUGGCCAUGGAGACAAGACAGCUGAGCCACGAGGAGUUUGAGCUUCGUAAAGUGCUGAAAAGAAAGCUCCUGGGUCUCUCGUCCUUACAAUGGUCGAUCGCAAGGGAACGCUCAAGGUUGUUGCAUCUGAAGGAGGGGGACGCGAAUACGGAGUUCUUUCAUCGCCAUGCCAGGCACCAACAACGGAAGAAUGUGAUCAUGUCACUCCGGCAAACCGAUGAGGUGGUCUCGGGCCAUGAGAGGAUUGCGGACGUUGUGGACUCAUAUUAUGGGGCAUUGUUCGGUUCCACCACGGGCCGCCAGUUCAUGAUCGAUCUGGCACAACUGGACUUACCCUACAUGGACUUGCAUCACUUGGAGGAACCAUUCACGGCUGACGAAGUAAUCAAAGUGAUCAAAAGCAUGCCUCUUGACAAGGCACCCAGGCCAGAUGGCUUUACGACCCGGUUCCAUGCGCUGUGCUGGAAUAUCAUCAAGGACGACUUCAUGAAUGCCCUCGUGGCAUUCUAUCAUGGGGACAUGCGUGGAUUAGCAUCACUUAACAAAGCUCUAGUGGCUCUGUUGCCAAAGAGGGAGGGAGCCGAGGAGUUAAAGGAUUACCGCCCGGUGAGUUUGGUGCAUAGUGCGGUGAAAAUUUUCGACAAGGUGUUGGGGUGCCGCCUUGUCGAAGACCUACCACAUUUGGUGCGCCAGCAUCAAGGCGGUUUUGUCAAGGGACAGCUCCUUCACGACAACUUUAUGCUAGCGCACUAUACGGCCCGCCGCCUCCAUGCCUUGAAGCAGUCGGCUUUGAUGGUCAAACUGGACAUAUCCAAAGCGUUCGACACGGUGAAGUGGCCUUUCCUCCUAGAAGUUCUCCAUCGCAUGGGUUUUGGCAGAAAUUGGAUAUCCUGGAUCGUGGGACUUUUGUCCACCUCCACAAUGCGUAUCAUGGUUAAUGGGGUGCCCAGGGCCACGAUCUUCAACUGUUGUGGCCUUCGUCAGGGUGGACCGUUAUCGCCGAUGUUGUUUAUCCUUGUCAUGGAGCCCCUACAUCACCUCUUUAAGUUGGCCUCCGCUUCUGGCCUGCUGGCGCCGCUGGCACAUGUGGGAUGUGAACACCGCAUGUCUAUUUUUGCGGACGACGUGAUUAUCUUCCUCAAGCCGGUGGACCUCGACCUGGUUACGACAGCAAGGAUCUUACAAAUGUAUGGCAUGGCAUCAGGGAUCCGGGUUAACAUGCACAAAACGUCGGCCAUGCCCAUCAGGUGCUCACAGGAAGAGGUGGCACGUCUGGAAGGCGCUCUGGGGUGCCGCAUUGGGUCCUUUCCAUGCAAAUAUCUAGGCCUCCCCCUAGGCCUUAAGAAACCAUCUGCGGCGCAACUUAGCGGCCUGGUGGUGCAGUUGGCUGCGCGCCUGCCCACCUGGAAGGCGGCGACCCUGCCAAAGAGUGGCAGGCUUGUUCUGGUCUUAUCGGUGCUCUGUUCGAUCCCUAUACAUUCGAUGCUCGCCUUGGACUUACCGGCAAAGACGAUAGCGGCCAUAAACAAAAUAAUCAGAGGCUUCCUCUGGUGUGGCAAUGCUCAGGCUAACGGUGGGCACUGCUCAGUAGCCUGGGAGGACGUAUGCACGCCAAGAUGGGCGGGAGGCCUUGGGAUCCCGUGCCUUAGGUGGCUUAACAUUGCCAUGCAGGCCCGUUGGGCCUGGUUACAUCGGGUGGACAGCGAUCGACCUUGGACGGAGUUCAAGCUUGUCCUCCCCAAGGAAUCCCUAGCAUUAGUCGCAGCAGCUACCAAGGUGACGCUUGGAAGCGGGAUGGAAACUCUCUUUUGGGAAGAUCGUUGGCUACAUGGACAGCGAAUUCAGGAGUUUGCCCCUGGAAUCUAUGAAAGGAUCUCAAAACGAGCAAGGACCACGCGCACAGUACAUGAAGCCGUUUCUCUUGGCUCCUGGACUAGGGACAUCAGCCCCGCCCUGGCCUAUGAGGCUCUGCUGGACUAUCUGGAGAUUUGGCGGCGACUACAAGGGAUCUAGCUCCAGGAGCACGUCCCCGACGCCAUUACUUGGGCCUGGGAAACGAAUGGACAAUUCUCGGUACGGUCUGCCUACGCGGCAUGGUUUGUUGGUAGGGAGGUCGCGCCGACGGCGGAUUUUUCCUGGUGAUCUCGGGCUCCUCUCUGGUGCCGCUUCUUCACCUGGCUAGCUAUGCGAAACAGAUGCUGGACAUUAGACAGACUUGCCAGUCGCGGCCUCCCGCAUCAGGAUGCUUGCCCGUUCUGCGACCAGGAGGACGAAACCACUGAUCACAUUCUUCUAACAUGCGUGUUCGCUAGAUCAGUUUGGAGAACUCUGUGCUCGGCCUUGGGGAAGCCGCAGUGGUACCCAACGGCCCAAGACAACCUAAAGGAUUGGUGUGUAGCACGAACGUCGAGUGUCCACAAGCCGAAGGAGAUACGGGCGCUCCUCACCCUAGUGCUUUGGGAGUUGUGGAAGCACGGGAAUGCCAUUGUGUUUGACGGCGCUGCUCCAUCACUUCAGCAGGUAGUUGGGCGCAUCGUCACGGAAGGUAAGGCUUGGCAGCAGGCGAGCUUAUUGAAGGGCGAAGUGGAUAGCAUAUUUGAUCUUCUGGUAGGGUGGGUAGGGAGUGAGUAGUCCCGUUCGCCGCGUUUUGUAGGUGGAACGGUGGAUUGUACAUUACGUGUUGUUGUUACUGUAGCGCUUAAAACUCUGUAACAACAUUGGUGGUUCGGGUUCUUACCCCUCCCUUCUAUAAAAGAUGAUACGCACACUCGUCCGUAUUCGAGAAAAAAUAAUAAUAGCAUACAACUAAUCCCCAAAAAAAACUGCUAGAUGUGCAGCACCGGCUGCACAACCACUCAAAGUCCUAGCUAGUGGCUAGUGAGGAAGCACAUAUUCCACAUACAAAUAUACUCGUAAGGUACACGUGCAUUGCAUCCAUGAGCUUUGUAACAAAAUUACCAAUGGAUAUCACACUAUAGUAUGUAAAUAUGUAAGUUUGGAGUUAUAUAUGCAUGAUGUGGAUGUUCAUUUAAUUCUUGUAGUAGUUCAUCCCAAUCAAAAUCAAAUUAAUGCUACAAAAUAUCAAACACCAUGGUAUAAUACUACACAAAACUCAUCUGAGUAUAUAUGUAGUACAUUUGUCUCUAGGCAUCAUGUAUUGCACCUUUUUAUUUCUUAAUUUUUUUUACUAGAGGCGUACCUGUUAUACCACACACCAAUAGUAAUUGGUUCAGUUUUUUUUUACUUAUGAACAGAUUGGUCUGGCUACUAGUGGCGUGUCUUUUACAUGGCACACCACUAAUAAGAUGUAGUUAGUGGGUUCCAUUUAAUGCAGCACGUCAUUGGUUCAAUUAUUUAUUUAUUUACUCCUUUAUGUUGAUGAUAUGCUAAUUGUUGCAAAGAGUAUGCCAGAUAUUGAUGAACUAAAGAAGCAAUUGAGUAAUGAAUUUGAGAUGAAGGAUUUAGGUGCAGCAAAGAAAAUACUUGGUAUGGAAAUAUCCAGAGAUAGACCAUCUGGAGAAGUAUAUCUAAGUCAGAAGGGAUACAUUGAUAAAGUUUUUCGUCAUUUUAAUAUGCAUAAUGCCAAGCCGGUGAGUACUCCGUUAGCUGCACACUUCAAAUUAUCAUCAGCUUUAUGUCCGAAGUCAGAUGCCGAUAUUGAGUACAUGUCUAGAGUUCCAUAUUCGAGUGCAGUUGGUUCACUUCUGUAUGCCAUGGUUUGUUCUCGUCCUGAUUUAUCAUAUGCAUUGAGUGUUGUCAGUAGAUACAUGGCAAAUCCUGGAAACGAGCAUUGGAAAGCAGUUCAGUGGAUUUUCAAAUACCUAUGUGGUACUUCUAAUGCUUAUUUACAGCUUAGGAAAACUAGAGAUGGACUUAUUGGUUUGUUGAUUCUGAUUUUUGUUGGUGAUUUGGAUAAGAGAAGACCACUCACGGGUUAUGUUUUCACCAUUGGUGGUUGUGCUGUGAGUUGGAGAGCAACUUUGCAUUCUGUUGUGGCGUGUUCCACUACUGAUGUCGAGUAUAUGACUAUUUCUGAGGCAUGCAAAGAAGCUAUCUGGUUGAGAGGUUUAUACAAUGAGCUUUGUGGAGAUUCAUCUUGCCCUACCAUAUUUAGUGAUAGUCAAAGUGCUAUAUAUUUACAGCGAAUCCAAUGUAUCAUGAGAGAACAAAGCACAUUGAUGUCAGAUAUCAUUAUAUUCGAGAUAAGUACUCAUGAUAACCCUGUUGAUAUGAUGACAAAGCCAGUUCCUACCAAUAAGUUUGAGCUUUGCUCAGACUUAGUUGGUAUUUCUCACUAGUCCUAUCGACUUUAAGCACAAGGUGUUUAUGCUGAUUUGGAUGGAGUUAUUUACUUUCUUCGACUACUGGAGGAAAUUUGGCUCAAGGUGGAGAUUGUUAAAUUGUGAUCCAAAUUCUACCGUAUUGGACUAGACGUAGUACAUAUGGUGUGGGCCUUUGCGUUGGUACCGACACGUACGAGUACAACUCGUUUACUUGUCCUCCAAGGACUCUUGUAUAUUUCCCUCAUAUAUACCCGUGUAGUCGCACCUAAAGACGCUCUCUCGACUCAUGCUUGCAAUACUCCUCAAUCAUAGUGAUUGCGGCUUCGUGCGUCCGUGGUUUUCUCCCGCAAGGGUUUCCGCGUAAAACUCGGUGUCUCCCGUGUCUCGUUUGAUCUCGUUUUAUCUAACAACGUACUCGAUUAUGUCUACUACAAACCGCCAGGCUACCGCAAGGUGACAACGGAUAUGUUGUACGCAAUGACCGAGAGUAAGGGCAUGUACAAUGCUGCUAUCUUAGGAGUGUCACAUAGAUAAAUGUUGAGAUGAAGGAGAGACAAAUUAUAAGAAAAUGUUUGUCUUCUCUUAUUUAAGAGAUGUUCUUUUAGCACAAUAUGUCCCACCACGCGUUUAGGAAUUGCUAAUUAUUAAAGAUAAGGCUAAGAAAUAAUCCGUUAUAGACAACAUUUUAUUGUCAUCUCUAAAUUACAUGUAAGAAAUAAUCAUGUCUUAUCAACCAUUGUACAUGCCCUAACAAUCAUCUCGGCAUGUCCGAGUUAUGGUACCUCUUCCGCUUAACGUCUCGCGCCGGUCUGGGUGAGCAGACUACCACCCCCCUGGCGUCUUGGCCGGCCGCGAGAAGUGUCUCACCCACCAGGACGCUCUCCACGAGAUGGACGCUGUUCAUGGUGUAAUUUGGCUAGUUAAUGUAUGAUGAGCCAAAUUGAUUCAAUGAUUUAUCAACCUGGUCGGUUGAUGCAUUUUUUAAGUAUUGCAACAGGAAUUUUCAUGGACAACAAAGAUGCAAGUUCUAAGAAGGAUCGGAUGCUAAGCUAAACUAAGGGCGUGGAGUGCAUGGUCUAUAUAGCUACGUGUGGGGAGAAGUAUGCUUAGUGCUGAUGGCUAUUAUCCAUGUUGAUUUGCGACUUUGUCGGAGUAUUUUAUUAUUUUCUUUGAAGGCUCAAGGUAUUUGUACAAGUAUGCUUAGAACUUGGGCUACUAUAUUAUCUGGUGAUAGCGACGUGGCCAGAAUAGUUAAUUGAUAAGGCAAGGUGUGUAUACGGUCAGAAGGGAUCGCCAUGCAGGUUGGCCUAAUGUAAAACGUCAAGUACUAUACAUGGUAGCCCAAUUAGGAUGACAUGAUUAGAUUCUAAUCGGUUUGAUUCUGGAAUUCAACUCGUGUAUGCCAAGUCCUGCCUUGUAUACGUCAAAGUCCAGCGUGCCUUAUAUAUAAGGCCAUGGCCGAUUGAAAUACCCCCAACAAUCAAUCUAUCAACAAAUACAUUACUUUUUCACGUAUGUCUUUUUCUUUAUCAUUUUUCUCUGCCGAGCCCUAGCAGCCCUAGGGUUUGGUAAUCUUUGCCGUUUUGCGCUGAAAAGCGGCCGUCCCUCCUCUACGAAAGCGAGGGGAUCUUUGUUGCUUUGCUCGUAAAGCAAUCGUUCGUCGUCACAAAAGCAUGACAAAUAUCCUGGUGUUGCGCGGCGAUUUUGCGUGCCAUCACAAUUGGCAACUCCGCUGGGGACGGGAAGAAAAAGAGGCACACGAUGAGUACGGAGUCCAGGAACGGGAGCGACAUCGACCCGGAGAACGUCAUCGCCGUCACACUCGACGAUCUAUCUGAAGAUGAUCGGCGCGAGCUUGAACAAGAGCUUAAGAAAGAGAUGGCCGAGCGACUAAAAUUGAAGUUGACUGGAUACUGCAAGACAAGGAUCGGCGUCGUCAAGAAGGUACAUGUGUCGAACCCUUCACAUUCGAUCAACACCGAGGUAAAAAAGUCAACCGAAGAAAUUUCCCAUCUUAUUGAUAUGUGCGUAGCUACCAAGUAUGAUUCUGAUGUGAAAACUACGACACACACAAUUACUCAAUCAGUAGCUAAUAGAAUUGAAGAAUUUAAGGAGCAGCUUCACAAAGAUCUUGAAAAUAUUUUACCUAGUCAUGUUCGGUCGUUAGUGCUGCAAAUCAACGAUAAUUAUUCUGAGAAAAUACCGAUUGAGAAUAAUGGCUUCAUUAACUUUCCUAGUAAUAAUCAUACACCUGGAGCAUCGGCUAAUAACAUUGUGCAGCCCCAUGUUCCUUCAAAUAGUGAUCAAGGUGGCCGGAACUAUGAGAGCAGUUCGGCUAAUAAUUUUAUGCCUAGCAUAGCUGCUCCUAUUGUCUCAACUUUGGUUCCACAAAAUCACAACAGCAAUAACCGAAGUGCUAGUUCUAAUUCUAUUUUGCAACAACUUCUUUAUCCAACUGUAGAAUAUAGUACACCACCGCUAUUGACUGUCAGUACCGGGAUUCCGUGCGGGCCGGUACCCGAUUCAUAUUUUAAUGAGUCUCCGUUGCAAGCAUCACAAGCUCAAAUUUCUUUGCCGGAGUUUCCAUCACGUGCUAGCGUUCCAUCUGCUCCCCAAAAUAGUUCUCUACAUCCGAAUGAUAGUUUUAAGGAUAAGCUUGCUAGUAUACUAAGAGAAUUCGGUUUAGAACCUAAGAGUAAAGCACGUGCAUAUCAAAAACCAUACCCUGAUUACUUUGAUUCGACGGCUUAUCCUCGCGAUUUUAGAAUUCCUGAAUUUGUUAGGUUUAUAGGGGAAGAUGGUAGAUCCACUUUCGAGCAUAUCGGACAAUUUUUAGCCCAAUGUUGUGAUAUCGGCACAUCGGAUGUUUAUAGGAUUAAAUUAUUUCCGUUGUCUUUGUUCGGUAUUGCAUUUACUUGGUUUACAUCGCUUGCUCCUAAUUCUAUUUCAACAUGGGCACAAUUGGAGCAAAAAUUUCAUGAGUACUUUUAUAGCGGUGAAACAGAACUUCGGCUUUCAGAUUUAACUAUGGUUAGGAAGAAAUAUAAUGAGCACGUUCAUGAUUAUAUUAUGAGGUUUAGGGAUGUAAAAAACCGAUGUUUCAGCUUGACCAUAGCCGAAAAGGAUUUAGCCGGUCUUGCCUUUUCGGGUCUUCUCGCUCAUAUUAAGGAUAAACUAGAAGGGCGAGAAUUUUUAGAUGUUAAUCAAGUUUUCCAAAAGGCUUUGGCGCAAGAAAACUGGACUAAGGGGAUUAAACAAUAUAGCUGGUUUGAAGAUAAUAUUGAUAAUGAGGAGGAUAAUCAUGUAGGUAAUGCCUUCGAUUAUGAUAGUAAUUCGGCUAGUAAAGUUGACGUUAAUAUAUGUGUAGCCGAAUGGAUUCCAGCGCCAAAGUCAAAACCCUUUGCAUGUUCUACUUUGAAACCCACACCUGCUAGAAGAGAUGAAACUAAAUACACUUUUGAUGUUAGUAAGUGUGAUAGAAUUUUUGAUAUGUUACUACAAAAUAAAUUAAUUAGAGUGAGAAAGGGUCAUGUAAUUCCACCUACAGAAGAGUUGGGUAGGAGAGCUUAUUGCAAGUGGCACAAUUCUUUCUCUCAUGCUACUAAUGAUUGUAACAUGUUUCUUCAACAGGUGCACUCGGCCAUUAAUGAAGGACGAUUGACGUUUACAGAAAGUUCUAAGAUGAAGCUCGAUAGUGACGCUUUCCCUAUCAAUGUAGUCGAGCUUGAGAGUAAGAAAAUUCUUAUUCGGUCGGAUCAGACCGAAUCCGCAAGAAAGAAAAAUGUUGUUGAUGAUAAUGCUUCUCCAAGGACGAUCAAACAAAAAAUCCAGAAGUAGGAGUUUGGAAAGUCAAUGGAAGAAGGAAACAAGCUCCAAGACCAAAGCCGUCAGUUAGCAUGUUGUUGGAAAACUACACCUCACGCAAGACCAGCAAUGUGUUUAACCGGCUUGGAGAUAAUAAACGUCUUAGAUCUCCUUCUGGACCUGGCAGUCAUGAGCAAUGGCAAAGAAAUUUAUAUGACCAGCAGCCCUAUAUUGCAAUGGAGCCGACGUAUUGGGGUUGUGCACCUCCUAUGUACCCGCAGUUUCCUCCAUGGGGUUUUAAUCCUUGGGUGCCAUACCCUACAGUGCCAGGUUAUUUUCACCCAAAGUGGGUUCCGCCGAGGCCUUUGUUCAGAGCAGACAUACAUGAGAAAAGGGCUCCGCUCAAUGAGGCAGGUAGAUCAUGUGAUGCAAUUGUUGUCCAAAGGGACCGGUCAUUGGUACGCAGUGCAGAUGGUGAAGUUCAUAUAGGUGGUCAAAAAUUUAUGUGGGUGCCGAUCAAUCGUGGAAGUGAUGCAAAGGCACAUGAUGGGACUGUGCGUGGCUGCACCAAGAUUAGCGCAAUAAAAGAUAAUAGUUUACACAAUGAUUUGUAGCCUAGUGUGCAGACACAUGUAGACAAGAAAAUUGUAUGUACUAGUGAGUUGGUUGAUGCAUCUGCUGAUGAAUUUACUAGAGACAAUGGGAAAAUUGAAGCCAUAGGUACAGAAGAGAAUAGUGAUGGCGUGAAGUUGCACCAAACCGUCCGACGUAAUCAGUUUGAAAAGGAAACUAAUUUUGGACAGAUCAAAGAAUUCAUUGUAUCCUCAUGUACUAAUCAACGGUCUAAAUCGGCAAGCUCAUAUGUUGAUUUAUUCAUGGGAGGUUGUGGCCCAGGAGUGUCCAGAAAUUUCAAAUCUAGCACUAAUUUGGAUUUGAGCAAUGUACGCGGCCAGAAAUUUAAAGCUAGUAAUGGACAUGAUCAGCAGAGAAGUAUUUCGGCCAGAGAUAAAAUAUUUGCCAUAAAAGCAGAAGUACGUCAGUACAGGCCGAGAGACUCGGGUUGCAACAGAAUUAAGUCGGCUGCACCAGAGACUAAAUCAAGACCUCGGUGGUGUCCAACGGGACUCACACACACUCAGAAACGACGUGUGCAGAGACUACGGGCAUUUGAAAUGGAGGAAGAGAUAGUCGAGAAGAAGCGCUUGUUCGAUCAGGAAAAACCAAUGGUGCCGAAAAUGACAUGGAGGGAGAAGCACAUUGUGGGGGAGAAGUUGCCCAAAGCUCCCAACGGAAAAUAUUAAAAAAAGUAUUGUCAUAGCAUGUUCAAGAAAACAUGAGAUAAUGUGGCCGAUAUAAUUUUUGAAAUAUCGCCCUAAGCAACUAUAUGGCUAAUGAAGUUAUCAACAUUGUCGUAAGGAAUAAUAUGUUUUUGGUGAAUACAAUUAUACCAAAAACAGGGGGGCAUGUGUUCAUGAUGUAAUUUGGCUAGUUAAUAUAUGAUGAGCCAAAUUGAUUCAAUGAUUUAUCAACCUGGUCGGUUGAUGCAUUUUUUAAGUACGGCAACCGAAAUUUUCAUGGACAACAAAGAUGCAAGUUUUAAGAAGGAUCGGAUGCUAAGCUAAACUAUGGGCGUGGAGUGCAUGGUCUAUAUAGCUACGUGUGGGGAGAAGUAUGCUUAGUGCUGAUGGCUAUUAUCCAGGUUGAUUUGCGACAUUGCUGGAGUAUUUUUAUUAUUUUCUUUGAAGGCUCAAGGUAUUUGUACGAGUAUGCUUAGAACUUGAGCUACUAUAUUAUCUGGUAAUAGCGACGUGGCCGGAAUAUUUAAUUGAUAAGGCAAGGUGUGUCUACGGUCAGAAGGGAUCGCCAUGCAGGUUAGCCUAAUGUAAAACGUCAAGUACUAUACAUGGUAGCCCAAUUAGGAUGAUCUGAUUAGAUUCUAAUCGGUUUGAUUCUGGAAUUCAACUCGUGUACGCCAAGUCCUGCCUUAUAUACGUUAAAGUCAAGCAUGCCUUAUAUAUAAGGCCAUGGCCGAUUGGAAAUACCCCCAACAAUCGAUCUAUCAACAAAUACAUUACUUUUUCACAUGUCUUUUUUUUUAUGAUUUUUCUCUGCCGAGACCUAGCAGCCCUAGGGUUUGGUAAUCUUUGCCGUUUUGCGCUGAAAAGCGGCCGUCUCUUCUCUACGAAAGCGAGGGGAUCUUUGUUGCUUUGCUUGUAAAGCAAUCGUUCGUCGUCACGAAAGCACGACAAAUAUCCUGAUGUUGCGCGGAGAUUUUGUGUGCAGACGCUUUCUCCAUCGACGCCGUCGCCGGACUCUUCGCCAAGACCGGAUUCGGACCUGGGACAUCGACGUAAUCGUGGUCAACGUCAACAUGUUCUGCCCGCAACCUUGCCUCGCCUCGCGGAUCACGCACCGCUACGGCAUGCGCCACGACGUAGUGGCGUACAACGUAUCUCGGGCAUGGGCUACAACGCCCCGCUGGUCUCGUUGAAUAUCGUCUUGAACGUCAUGCGGGCACGGUCGCCGCGCCCGGUGCUUGCGCUGGUGCUGUCGACGGAGGUGCUCUCGCCUGGAAACUACCUGGGCACGGACAGGUCCAUGAUGCUGGGACUAUGCCUUUUCCGCUUCGGCGGGGCAGCGGCGCUGCUCACCAGCGACCCCGCGCUCGGCGGGCGCGCCAAGAUGAAGCUAUGCCGCCUCGUGCGCGCCAACGUCGCCGCCAACGACGAUGCGUACUCCGCCAUCUUUCAGCGCGAGGACGCACACAACAUAACCGGGUUCAGCAUCAACAAGACCCUCCCAAAGGCUGCCGUCCGAGCUUUCGCCGCCAACCUGAAACGCCUCGUCCCUUACAUCCUCCCUGCUAGGGAGCUCCUCCGGCUUGCCGCCAGCUUUACGUGGCAGAAAAUUAAGCGACGCAAGCGAGUGAAGAUCGAUGUCAACUUAAAGACCGGCGUCGACCAUUUCUGCCUCCACUCAGGCGGGGUCGCGGUGAUCGACGCCGUGAAGAAGAACUUCGGGCUCGAGGAGGCAGACGUGGAGCCGUCGAGGAUGACGCUGCACCGCUGGGGAAACACGUCGGCCAGCAGCGUGUGGUACGUGCUUGCGUACAUGGAGGCCAAGGGGAGGCUCAAGAGAGAGGACAGGGUGCUCAUGGUGACCUUCGGAUCGGGCUUCAAGUGCAACAGCUGCAUGUGGGAUGUGAUUCGCGAUCUGAAGGACAUGGGUGCGUGGGCCGACUGCAUUGAUGAGUACCCGCUGGAGAGCACAGCCAAUCCGUAUAUGGACAAGUAUAGCUGAAUGAUAAAUGACAACGCUGAUGACGAUUCCACGUUGCCUCUGUUGUAAACCACGUGGACGGCGCGUACGUCAUUUACGGAUCACAAGUGCGGUGAAUAAGAGCAUGGGAACUUCUCUUCCUCUGAUUAUAUAUAGCAGUAUACUUGAAAAAUUAUCACAGUGACACUCACAACUGCGAGUGCAUCUUCUUUAGAGUAUCAUUAUGGAAUAUGUCUGCGUGUAUAAUAUUUAUGUUUUCAGAGGUACUGAGAAAAUAUAUUUCAAUUUAUAUGGCAGUAUGAACACCGAAAAUGUUAAAUAAAAUAUGAGAUGGGCAGAAAAUAUUUUGUAUCAUUUUAGUUUGUGGGAAAAUGAUAGCAUAGAAGUAAUCCCAAACAAAAACCAGCUAGCUGUGCAGCACCAGCUACACAGCUACUCAAAAGUCCUGGCUAGUGCGCGCAAAAAAAAGAACUCCUGGCCAGUGAGCAAGCACAUAUUCCACAUCCAAAUAUACUACUCCAUCCGUUUCUAAAUAUAAGUCUUUGUAGAGAUCUCAAUUCAAAAUACAUACGUAUGUGUAUAGACAUAUUUUAGAGUGUAGAUUUACUCAUUUUGUACCAUAUGUAGCCCCUUACUGAAAUAUCUAAAAAGAUUUAUAUUUAGAAACGGAGGAAGUAGUAAGGUAAACGUGCAUUGCAUGCAUGAGCUUUGAUAACCAAAUUACGAAUGAAUACCACAUUAUAGCAUGUAAAUCUGUAUGUUCUUUUUUUGUGAGGAUGCAAAUCUGUAUGUUCGGAGUUAUAUAUGCAUGAUGUGAAUGUUGAUUUAGUAGUUCAUCCCAUUCAAAAUAAAAUUAAUGCUAGCACAAAAUAUCAAAGACUACAUGGUACAGUAUGAUACUACACAAAACACAUGUGAAUAUAUGUAGCAGAUUUGUCUUUAGGUAUCUAAUAUUACAGUUUUUAUAUUUUUCAACAAAUUGUAAUUUACGCUAGCGGCAUGCCUAUUAGCGUGGGAACAGAUUAGUCUAGUUACUAAUGGUGUGUCCUUUACAUGGCACAUCACUAAUAAGAUGUUAUUAGUGUCGUUCUCUUUAAAGUCGCACACCACUGGUAUUUUGCCCAGUUACUACUUACCAGUCGCAUUUGAAAUUAUGGCCGUGCCACUAAUAGUUUUCACCUAUCAGAAUUGAGAUAGAUGCCUAUCGGAAUCAGUAAAGUUACUAAGCUCCCAGGAAUUGGAGCGCUUAGUGAGAUUGCAGGUUCCCUGAAAAAAAAAAAGAUUGCAGGUUUAGUUUUGCUUCUUUUCUCCGAUGGUGUGUGUUUGCACAGCUCGAUUUGGCUAGCUACAAUUCGUCGGAGCUGGUCAAAGCUGGGCCGGCCUGGUCGAACGGGCUACAGUUAGUCGGUAGUAUCUUUGAAAGAAAGCCUGCGUCCUCGCAACACACUGUUUCUUUUCCUCCGUCGCUGCGCUCACACUAGUAGAAAAAAGGUUUAAUGUGAAACUCAUUAGUGCCGGUUUGUAAUUGAACCGGCACUAAUGUGACCAUUAGUGCCGGUACUAAAGAGGUGGUGGCCUUUAGUACGGGUUGGUGGCUCCAACCGGUACUAAAGACCCCCCGUUUAAUAUCGGUUGGAGCCACCAACCGGUAUUAAAGGUGGUGCGCUGCCACCCGCAGUGCACAAUGUUUAGUCCCACCUCGCUAGUUGAGAGGAGCUCGCACCGGUUUAUAAGCCCCGCCGCGGCUACCGUGUCGAGCUCCUCUGUAAGCUGGCCUUUGUGGGCCUAUUGCAAGUCUUCUGCCCUGUGGGGCCUACUGGGCCGUACGGGCCUGCAUCCUGGCCCAACUAGAGAUUGGGUUUCUAGUCAUAUGCAGGCCGUGCCGGCCCAGUAGGCAGGCUGUCCCCACUCUUUAGUGCCGUCGGCUGGAGUGGACGGCGCCUACUCCUUCAUGCCUCCUGCCUUCCUCCCUCGCAUCCCCUCCUCACACCCGCCUAACGCUCGCCGCCCACCCAGCUCCGUCCACCACCGCACAUCUCCUCCCCGGCUACACCACCUUGCCCGCGGGAGGCCGGCGAGCCCCUCACCGUGCGCCGUGCCGCCGACAAGAAGCGUUGUGAUGGCGCUGGACAGGGACGUCCACCAUUUGCAGGCUCGGCUGCCUUCCUCAAGCCCACCAUGGUCGCAUCCCCUCCCCUCACCCCCACCUACUCGGAUCUCUCUUUUCCCAAUCUCUGUCUGAUUCUAUUGUUAUCCUCGCGGACUAAUUUCAGAAAAGUAGAUCUUAAUUUCGAGCAAAAUCAUGGGCAAUUUGGAGGCCUAUACUUAUUUGGUUCAUUCAAGCUAUGGAUUGUGGUGAGCUCAUGGUAUUUCUAGAUGUUGUCAAAGGAGUUUAAUCUUCAUUUUUAUGUGUCCUCCCUCCGGAAGAAGAGGUACUAGAUUUCAUCUGUAUUUAUGUUGCCAUAGGAUUUUCAUUCUAAAGAGCAUGUGUGGCAGGGGGUUCUUCUCGGCUGCCUCGGAGGCUCGAACUCAAUACUCGAGCUCCUGCACCUACAGCGCCAUGUACCGAUGCAUGACCUCAGUGCCACCGGCGGUGGCAUCGCAGAGUCUAGGUAAUGACUCCUUGACCAUCUCCGCCUCCUGCUCUUUGAAUUGUAUACUGCAUAUUGUUUACUGCUGCUCUUCGACUUGUACUUUAUAUUGUUUACUGCCGCUCUUCAAGUUGUACUGUAUAUUGUUUACUGCUGCUCUUUCAGUAUUAGUGUAGUGGCAAGAAGCCAUGAACUGGAAAAAUAAUGACAUCUGUGUAUAGAGAAGGGAUUAAUAAUAGUCUCCUUUUGUACUAAUUUUUUGCAGUACUUAUUUGGAGCAUUGGGUUCAAUGUUUGUGGCUGUCACAUUAUGAAAGCCAAGAACUGGAAAUUUAUGUUCUUUAUGUGACACGAUAGUUUGUUGUUACAUUUUCAACCUUUUCUAUUUUGGAUAUGUAUAAUUGCAAUCCUCAAUGUAUAACUGCCGGUCAGUUCUGGAGUUUGCUGAUAGGAGCAGCAAGCAACAAUAGGCAACCAACAGGAUCUCUUGUAUGAAGAUGCGCAGGUUUUCUUCAGUUACUGCAGAUUGCAAGCAUGAGUGACAUCGUUAAGUAAGUAGAUGAUUGGAUUUUUGCCUUUGAGCUGGGCUACACUCAGUAAAAGAGCCUUCUAUCAAAAGAAGAUGUGUUACAGAUGUUCCAGUAUAUUCCUCUGUUUUUGGAAUCGAGAAAAGAGCUUUAUGCUGAGAGUCUACUUGUUGUAGAAGAAACUUCCAUUAACAACUUUUUUUGCGGGAUGUUAACAACUAUUUGAAAUAAAAGGUACUCUGAUAAAAUAACUCCUGUCAAGAUUAUAUAAAGGACGGAUUGCAAUUCUAGAACAUAUGUUCUGUUGCUAACUGACAGUGCUUUCAGAAGUAAUUUUUAUUUAGGACAUUAACUCUCAAGGUGACUCAUCAUUGGUCUGGGUCAAUUUCAAGUGCAUAAAUAUCUGUAAAUUUUGCCGUUUAUAUAGUUGAAUAAGAAUAAUCCAUCUACUUACACUAGUAGAAAACAGGGCUUUCGUUCGGGCCUGGCCAGCCCAUUAGUCCCGGUUCUGCACGAACCGGGACCCAUGGGGUGCAUUAGUCCCGCUUCGUGAGCCCAGGGGGCCGGCCGGGCCACGUGGGCCAUUGGUCCCGGUUCAAGGCACGAACCGGGACCAAUGCGCCUCGCCCCUGGCCCAUGACCAUUAGUCCCGGUUUGUGCCACAAACCGGGACUAAAGGGUUGGUUCUCGUUGCGGCCAGUGUUUAGUCCCUUCUCGCCAACCGAAGGGCGCACACACCGGUUUAUAAGCCCGUCCCUCUCUGCCUUGUUGAGCUCCUCUAAAAAAGAAAAUAGAUGCCCUUAUACAGGGAAUUUGACCUAAAUUCAGAGUGAGUUUCUCUGAAAUUCAUAGAAAUUUAUUAUGAAUUUAGGUUGAAUUUUCUCUAUAAGCGCAUCUAUGCUCAUUUUCUUAUGUUGGGGUUGGCGAUCUUUACAGACUUUUUAUGUGUUGAAUAUGCACCAUUCAAAAUCAGUCUCUGCUUUGAAUGGUGCAUUUUAAACACACAAAAAGUCAGGAGUUCAAAUAAGUUUUAAAAAAUGAAAUCCCUUUGUAACAGACGAGUUUCCGUAUGAAAUCCUGAUAAUUUCAAAAAAAUUGUCCAUUUUGUACACGAAGUGCAUCCAGUUUUUGCCGUAGCCCUCUCAACUUUCUUGCACAUGCUAUGUGGAUGAAAUGAUGAUACCAUGCCAACUUUCAACCUUUUAAGAGUUCAUUAUGCUUUUCAAUUUUAGGGUCUUAUAGCUCAAAAUAAUGAGUAAAUGCAUGAAAAAUAACAAAUGAAGUCAGAAAGGAUUGAAAAAUGCUGAUGUGGCUUUGAAUGGUGCAUUUUGAACACACAAAAAGUCAGGAGUUCAAAUAAGUUUUAAAAAAUGAAAUCCCUUUGUAACAGACGNNNNNNNNNNNNNNNNNNNNNNNNNNNNNNNNNNNNNNNNNNNNNNNNNNNNNNNNNNNNNNNNNNNNNNNNNNNNNNNNNNNNNNNNNNNNNNNNNNNNNNNNNNAAUGAAGUCAGAAAGGAUUAAAAAUGCUGAUGUGGCUUUGAAUGGUGCAUUUUGAACACACAAAAAGUCAGGAGUUCAAAUAAGUUUUAAAAAAUGAAAUCCCUUUGUAACAGACGAGUUUCCGUAUGGAAUCCUGAUACUUUGAAAGAGAUUGUACGUUUUGUACACGAAGUGCAUCCAGUUUUUGCCGUAUCCCUCUCAACUCUCUUGCAUAUGCUAUGUGGAUGAAAUGAUGUUACCAUGCCAACUUUCAACAUUUUCAGAGUUCAUUUGAAAUGCUUUUCAAUUUCAGGGUCUUAUAGCUCAAAAUAAUUAGUAAAUGCAUGAAAAAUAACAAAUGGAGUCAGAAAGGAUUNNNNNNNNNNNNNNNNNNNNNNNNNNNNNNNNNNNNNNNNNNNNNNNNNNNNNNNNNNNNNNNNNNNNNNNNNNNNNNNNNNNNNNNNNNNNNNNNNNNNNNNNNNGACGAGUUUCCGUAUGAAAUCCUGAUACUUUGGAAGAGAUUGUCCGUUUUGUACACGAAGUGCAUCCAGUUUUUGCCGUAACCCUCUCAACUUUCUUGCACAUGCUAUGUGGAUGAAAUGAUGAUACCAUGCCAACUUUCAACCUUUUCAGAGUUCAUUUGAAAUGCUUUUCAAUUUUAUGGUCUUAUAGCUCAAAAUAAUUAGUAAAUGCAUUAAAAAUAACAAAUGAAGUCAGAAAGGAUUGAAAAAUGACGAUGUGGCUUUGAAUGGUGCAUUUUGAACACACAAAAAGUCAGGAGUUCAAAUAAGUUCU